rnacentral:lncRNA from 1 species
AGGAGUCGGAGGUUGAUCAUUGGGAGCUUCAUUACGCGGUACAGCCCUAGAAGAUGAAGGCAAAUGCUGUUGGAACAAACCCACAAACCUCUGAUGAUCAAGUAAAAUCUGACCAUCGGAUUUUUGCAUCUGGUCAAUCUUCCUCUUCAUGUUUGUAGCAUAGUUAUGUGCAAGCCUGUGUAAUUGUUUAUUCUCAUGCUUGAGCCCUCUAAUCUCCUGUUUGAGACUCAUCACUUCAGCCGCCAAUGAUUCAACUUGACGAGUUCGAGCAAAUAGGCGUUGGGCCAUAUUAGACACAGAACCUGCACACUGCACACUGAGAGCCAGAGAAUCCUUAACAGCCAACUCAUCAGACCGUUUGGAAAGCAGUUUGUUAACUUUGGGAGUGACAAGGUUCUGGGCCACCACCGCAGCGGUCAUAUCAUUCUUCAUCACCGAGUCCCCGACGAUAAGAGGACCAGUAGGGGAUAUGAAGGAUGGGCGCCAUAUGUUGUCUGGAGAAGGCGGGACUGCCUCUUCACCAAGAUUCAAGUAAAAACGACGGUCGGAGGGUCCAUACAUUUUCAAAGUGUUGAAGAAGUACAAGAAGGGAGUCUCUACAAGCAAAAAAAAAUUUCAAAUGUGCUUUGAAACGAACUACAUGCCUCUAUAAAAAAUCAGCACUCGACGGGAUUUCAGAGAUCGAAGAGGCGAGCUCAGAAUUCGAAGAGGCCAAUUCAAAAAUCGAAGAGGCAAGCUCAGAAAUCGGAGAGGCAUCUUGCUUUUCCAGACGCAUGCACCCGUCACACGCAAACUCAGCUUUGCAGAAAUCACGGGCAAUUUUUCGAAGCGCCGAUCCCAGAUAUCGAAAAGGCGCCAGUCUUUUUCAGCCUCGUGAACACCUGUCACAUGCACACUCAGCUUGGCGAAAAUUACGGACAAUUUGUCGAAGAUUUCUGAUAAAGAAGAAAGCACGUGAAGCCAUACUGAUCAAUCACUCAAUGGUUGCCGACACGAGUGAAAGAAGUACAUCUAUAGCGAUUAAAGAACUUCUUAUAACUGUCCACCUUCACCCUUCAUAGCAAGGCAGACAUACAGAACCUUUCUUCAUCUAAAAAAAAAUGCUUUCCCAACGAAGCCUCUCGAGUCACUCAGUGUUCCUUAUUCCUUGGGGUACCUCUGCAAGCAAAUGACUCCAAAGCAAAAGUAUCUCAUAUCACUAGGGUAGAAAGUAAGAGUAUCUCAUAUCAUACUUUUUCCCUGUCCUUUCCUUUGUCCUUGUUCUUACCUACAAAGAUAAGGAUAAAGAAAACAAUAUGCCGGAACCUCCACUCAAACUCGGGUAAGGAACCGACUGCUUGGAACCCUUCCCUGAUUGCCUACCUAGCACUGCUCUCGAGUACUCAUCUCCCACUGCUGCUGUACUUCCAAAGAAGCUGCCACAUCUGCCUGAAGAACAGAUAAGGCAAGUGAAAAUGAUACCUUGCAACACGUGGAGACAACGUGCAGAAGAAACAAGCAGAGAAGAAUGCAGCCUGCACAGUCAACUCAGCAGAAGGAGUCUGAGAUGAGGAACUUGAGAAGAUGCCACAUAUUCCUGAGGAACAGAUAAAGGAAAUGAAAAUGAUACCUUGAAGCAUGUGGAGACAAGUGCAACAAAACACAUGCUGAUUCAUCCGCUCUUUCUUCAAAAUCAAAAGUAUCUCAUAUCAUCAGGGUUGCAAUCACUCUGGGUAGUGGACUCGUUUUGACCCUCAAAUUCUUGGGUCGACUCGCUAGGCGUUAUGGGCUGCACAUGCCGAUUCACCACCCUUGAAUCAAAUCCUUAAAGAUCAAGUCACCAACUGGAAGAAGAGCCCAUCAAUCUUGAAGAUCAUACCGUUGAUCAAACUGCUCAGGUGUGAAUUAGAAAGAUUGAACGAGGCAACAUGUCGUCACCUUCACCUCGUGCCUGCUUGCCAUGUGUUCGAGUCAACCUUCAAGAAUCAAGCCUCGACGGCCCUUGAAGAAGCUUCCAGCCAAAUUCAAGAUCAAGCCUCGACGGCCCUUGAGAAAAUCACAAGUCCGAUUCAAGAUCAAGCGUCCACCAUAUUUGAAUCAAAUCCAGUUCAAGAAUAAGCUGUGGAAAACCAACAAUUGGAGGAAUCCAGAAAAUCCUCCAACCCAGUUCAAGAUCAAAGCUGUGGAAAGUCAACAAGCGCAACAAAAUACGUGCCGAUUCAUCCACUACCAAAGCCAAAGAUCAUCUACCACAUGAAGCUCCUUGUGGUCCAAAUUUCAACCUUCAAGAUCAAGUCUCGACGGCCCUUGAAGAAAUCUCCAACCCAAUUCAAGAUCAAGCAUCAACAGCCAUUGAAGAAAUUUCCACCCCAAUUCAAGAUCAAGCCCCAACGGCCCUUGGAUCGACAUCUACAAUAAGGGACUUCAAAACACAUCUCCUACACAUGACAAGCACAUGUAUACGAUGCGCCUUGAAGUGGGGGCAUUUGUAGACAUCGAAAUUUCGGUAAAUAAAUGUUGACCGAUAAAUCAAAGUUUCAGCGCUCAUGUAUUACAUAAAUUUUACACGUAGCGUGUGUCUAAACAAAAAAUCGAGAAUCAUCAGAAAAGUCAUCAAACAGGACACGUGUCAACACCUGGCAGAAACGACUUAUUUCAUUUGGAAUAUUAUAUUCAAAAUUAGGCCUUGGAAAAUUCUAUAAAUAGAAGCCAAUUUCAUUCAUUUGGGGGAGGAAUUCAUAUUACACCUUGAAGCUCUGAAGCUCUGAAACUCCGAAGCUCUCAAGCAAAUCCCGAAGGAUCAAGAAAGCCAUUUUCGUUCUUCAUCAAAUCUUCCUUCAAGAUCAAGCCCCGACGGCCCCUUGGAUCAACAAUCAUCCACCUUCAAGAUCAAGCCCCGACGGCCCCUUGAAGAACUUCCACCAAAUUCAAGAUCAAGCCCCGACGGCCCUUGAAGAAAGUGUUCUUCGUUCUUCGUUCAUCGUUCUUCUAAGAUCAAGCCCCGACGGCCCCUUGGAUCAACAACAUCAACAAAUCCACACGUCCAACCGUUCUUCAAGAUCAAGCCCAAAAGCCCUUAGAGAUCCGUUCAUCACUGUUCUUCAAAGAUCAAGCCCAAAAACCCCUUUGAAGAUCCGCUCAAAUCCACCUUCAAGAUCAAGUCCACGACCCUUGAAGAACGUUCAUCCUUAGAUCAAGCCCAACGGCCCUUUGGAUCAAUCGCAUAUCCACAAAUCAACACCUUACGGAGAUUGAAUCAGAGGAUCAAAUUUAAGAGAGAUUGUAACCCAAAAUCAUCAAAUACAAAUAUUUGUUUGUGCACGUUGUUCUUGUCGCUUUCGUUUCAGGAAAUUUUCGUGUUCACAGUCUCGCUCUUCAACCUUGCCGUCUCUCUCAUAAAUUAUCAACAACGGUGUUCUCUUGCCGGAAAAAGCACUCUGCAGCUAGAACUUUUUUUCGAUUUUUCAUUCGAAUCGAUUCAAUUUUUUACCCAGAAAAGUUAGCGUUUACUGGUCAGUUUUUUCCGCCUUUCUCAGUAUGGGUGUUUUGAAUUUUUUUUUUUUUUUUUUGGUGGUUUAGGAUUUGCAGUUGGGUUUUGUGUUUAAGUUUGCUUUUUGUGAUUUUGUUUGUAGGCUCGGAUCCUCAUCUUCUUCUUCUUCAUCCAAACCAGUAGCUCCACCUUCGAUUAUUACCGACGGAAACACGACGGAUUAAGGUGCAGCACCAAUAUGUAACACGUGUAAGAAAAGAGCUCCAUACUCGCAAAGGUAUUCUUUUUUUCUUUUUCUUUUUUUUUUUGUUCUGGGCUUUGAGCUGUUUAGAUGUUGAGAAUAAGUUUUUCAUUUUUUUUUUCGUUACUUUGUUACUGGGUUCGCUCCAAUUAAGACAAUUAGGAAAUGGUUUUAGUGUGAAUUUAAAUUAUGGGAUAUCCCUUCAGGAAAAUCUUAGAAUUUUUUUAUUUUUGUGAAUAUAUUUGUAUUGAAUCACUGACCUCUUUUUUAUUUAGUAGGGAAAAGGGGAGUGAUGCGAUUGAAUAAGCCAAUAUGGAUGAAUUUCUUUAGUUCUUGCCAUGAUAAUCUAUUAUUUUACUCUUUCACUUUAUUCUACAGAUUCGUUCGAACACUUGCAGUUGCAUGAAGAAAUAAUGAGGCGGUUGAAGUGUAGAACGAAGGUUUACUUUGAUGUCAAGGUUAUGAAAAAAGAGUUUGUACAGUAGCUAAGUACAUAUACGUAUAUAUCUCUGCGUAUGUGUUUGUAUCAUUUGUUUUGAUUGCGAUUCUUGGUUUUGCGAUUAGGAUUUUUGGAAGGAGGCUUCGAUUCAAUUGUUGGAACAGAUAAUAUUUAUCGAAACUUCAAUGCGUCAGUAGAAGCUGGCUGCUUGCAAAGACAAGAACAUCAAUAUAUAUGCAUUGGAAUUUGUUGCGCUGUAAGUAGCUUUAUAGGCACUCUAUGCCAUUGUCAAUACAUCAGUUUAUAUAGCAGCAAAAUUGUUUCUUAUCAACUACUUUUUUGUCCCUUUUUUUGCUGAGGCUUUGUAUCAUGUGGACUUCAAUUGGUGAGUAUCACUUCGAUGUUGAUAUAGUUUAUUUUGUUGCAGAGGAUAUGAAGAAGUGGAAAGGUCCCUGAUAGAAUGGGAGUUUUGCUGCUUAAGACAAAGAAUGGUAACUUAGUUAUUUCGUUUGCUUUUUAGCUGUUUCAUUUGCUUCGUACAAUGCAUUUCAGUUUUUUCAACUCCUUGCAAAAGGUGAAACUGAAUAUAUACAACAAUUUUCUAUUUGUGCAUCAAUAGAUUAUUGUGACUAAUUUAAAGAAAUUGUUGCAAUUUGGUAUCAAUUGUGUUCAGUUGUUUGGAAGCAUGACUAUGUCUGCAAGAGAUUUACUGAGGAUCCAGAUUGCAUCAUGUUCUUAAUGAGCUUGAAAGAGGAGUUGCUCUUCACCUGACAAUUGCAUCGCAUGUGAGUAAUGUCUUCUGUUACAUUUUUUAAAUUGUGUUUUCAUGUCUAAAUUAUUGAGAAUUAAGUUAUACAUAAGGGGAUUAAGUGAUUUAAAGACGUUGCAUUUUAGAAUAGGUUUUCUUAAUCGACCCGUGGUGGAACCUAGCUGUUGAGAGGCAACCAUAAGAUAGAAUCCACCGGAUAGGGCAGUACAAACAGAUCAAGUACACAUUUUUCUUCAGUUAUACAAAGUUUUCUCAACUAUACAUUCCAAAAAAUCUAUGUUAAUAUCUCUAAUAUUUUCUUCUCCAUUGCAGAUUUAUGAGAUUGGUUUGGAAUUUGAUUAUUUCAAUUCUUUUUUUUCUAGAUUAUAUUUCAAGGUUAGUCGCUAAACUCUCUCCUUUUUUAUUGGUUUUUGUUAUUAGAUUAUUCUUUGUUGCUUUGGAUUUAAGCUAUUGUUCAAUGUCUUUUCGUAUGAGUUCUGCUUUUUGCAUCGUUCUUUUUUGUUAUUAAUGUUGGAUUGUUGGCUUAUAAAUUUAGAGUGGGUUGCUUUAGAUUUUACUUUAAGUGGCUUUCGAAUUGAUUGCUGGGUUUUAAUUUAGAGCACUAUCUAAUCAAAUGAAAGGCCAAGAGUUUCUAUUUGAAUGAUGGUCCUAGAUCAUUUCAUUCGUUCCAGAAAUGUUAAUGAAUUUGAAGACUUAAAAUCCAAACUAAAGAGUAGCAUUAUCUUGGAUUGCCUAUCUUAGCAUGAUGAUUUUAAAUUACAACUUUGAAAUUUACAUUUGGAGUGUAUUUUCAUGUACAGGACAAGGUGUGGAUUAGAUAGCAGUAUCUGGUUGGAAGACAAGAUUUUGUAAAAGAAAGGGUAAGAAAAUGCUGAUGAAUUGUCUUUGUUGAUCUGUGCAUGUAAGAGCUCUUACUGAUUAUUUUGUUUUCUUUUGGCCAUGUAAAAGCUCUGUACAUAGAGUUCACAAUACAUGCAUAGUUUUUCAUUGUUCUAAAAUUUUUAAGUUCCUAUAAAUCUUUUCCUGCAUUUAUGAAUUCUAAAUAAAUGCAAAUCAUACAAAUAAUCAGAGUGGAUAAAAUUAUUGGCUUAUAUGCAUUUUUGCAGCUGGAAAUUUUUGGUAAAUACUUAACCUCUUAAUCAAAGCCUAUAUAUGCCAAUUGGUUUUGUAAGUAGCAUCAAAUAAUUAAUUGUUUUUUUCUUGGUAAGUGCCUAAAUGUUUACACUUUUAGUUUAACAGAAAAUGAUAAAUUGAGACAAAGUUGGAACCUAAUAAAUCAAUAUUAGCAAACCCAUGAACUUAUUUCGUGAUUAUCACGAUAUUGUUUCAAUAUUCUACUUUUGCUUGCAAUUCUGUUCUCUCUAGGACAUUAAGGUGCAUUUUUGGUUUUUAAGUUUCUCCGCCACAUAACAGCUGUUUGAUUGUGAUUUCUUUGUGAGAUUGGAUAUAUGAUUUAAAAAUUUGUUAACAAAUUUUAAUUGUGAUUCAAUUGUUUUUUCAAUCAUGUAAGAAGAUGCAAUCUAAGCGACUAUAAAAGAUGUUGACUAUGCUUUGGUUGAUCAAAAAAUAGAAACAUCACGUCUGUAUUGUGAAGAGGAAAUGGAGAGCAAUCUGUCUCAGUUUUGGAAUGUACUGGAAUCAAAGAAGCUAACUCAAGGUGCUAACUUUGAAUUUCCCCGAAAUAUCUUUUUUUUUAUUAAUUAUUUAGACGUAGAAAUUCUCCAUGUUAUUUUUAUUAAUUAUUUAUUUGGGAGUGAAGUGAAAAUCUGUAAAUGCGGAUUUGUGUUUGUUUGCCCAACUGCUAUUUCAAAGCUGGAGGAGGCAUUGUUGAUUAAUCCUAGGAAAUAUGAUGCUCUAUGGUGCUGAGAAAUGCUUAAACUGCUUGCACAUUAUGCACUAUGGACCAGAAUGAGGCCAAGGUUCCAAAAAGUGUUGUACUGCUUCCAGAAGGCUUUCAAUGAGGUACUGCCACUUACAAAUUUGUUAUUCUUGGAAUUUGAUGUAUACCUUAAUAUAUAUUCGAGUUGCUCCAUUUCUUUCAAAGUUUAUUUCCUUAAAGGUGUAUGAAACAGCAAGUUAUUAUGGUUCUGAUGCUUCUAAAAUUUAUGAAUACAUGUUUCAUUUGGCUGUUUGUUUUGCAGGUUUCAUUUUUGCACAGUAAAGGACAUAUGCAACACCUUCCACAAUUUUAGAACACUUGAAGGUGAGACCUAAGAAAUAAAAUAGCGGUUUGAAACGUUGUGAUGGCAUUUUAAUUUCCUUUUUUGUGAACUGAUUUUAAAGCAUAUUUACCUAUUUAUUUUUCCAUAUUUUGUUUACAUUUGAUUUAUGAUAGAUUACGCACAUACUUAACGAGUUUGCAUAAAUUUAAUGCCUUAAGCUUGCACCUUAACAAAUGCCUAUGAAAUCUGCAGUAUUAUCUAAUUGAAUUGGUUAGUUUUGAUUUGCAUUUUGUUAAUUUAUAUAUUUGUAAUAGUUGACUCUGUUGAAAUUUUAGUGUAUCACUUUCUGUCAACACUCUACUUCUUUUUCUUAUUACGUUUUGUGUUUAAAUAGCAUGAACAUGCUAAAAACCUGUUAAUUACAAACUAUCCAUUACAAGUUUGUACUACCUGUUUUCUUCUUUUACGUCCAGUAGUUUUAAGACCCGCAACAAUGCGCGGGCAUUAUAGCUAGUUAGUCAUUAUAUAAGUAUGUAACAAGAAAAGCUAAUAAAAGGUUUGUUUGGAAAUGCUUUGAAAAUGAAUGAAAGUGCUUUUGAAAAAGAUGAUUUUGGGUUCCAAAAGGACUUGAAAUGCUUCAUACAAGAUGUACCAUUUAUGUACUUCAUGCAAGAAGCAUUUCAAGUACUCUUCCAAGAUUCACUUGCCUUAUUACUAAGGAUUAGUACCAGAAAUAUUUUCACCAAAAGCUUUAGCCAUUUUAAAAGCUAAUAAAAGAUGGUUUGUUUGGAAAUGCUUUUAAAAUAAUUGAAAGGGCUUUAAAAAAAAUGUAUUUGGGCUCUAAAAGCACUUGAAAUGUUUCAUGCAAGAAGUGCUUUUCUAAGAUCAUCACUUGCAUUUUUGCUAAAGGAUUAGUAACAAAAUAUUUUCACCAAAAGCUUUAGCUAUUUUAAAAGUUCUUCCAAAUAAUCUCAUAGUUAAUAACAUUAAAAAACUUCCAUAUGACAAAAAAAAAAAUUCCACAAUUGUAAUAGCUUAGCAACCUCUAAUCUGUUGAAUCUUUAUCCUUCCAUGUCGUAGCAUAAAAACCUCGAUCAGGUCGGAUGAUAGUAAACCAUAACCGCUCCAUAUUUGCCUUGGGGUAUAAAAAAAAUAAGAAAAAACUAACGGAAAGUUCAGAAACAUAUUAGUUUUAAUGAAGAAUGACAAAUAAAUGUGUAGUGAAUGGUAUUUGGGAAAAGUAAAAAUGUUGUUUUUCGUUAAAAAUAAAUAAUACCUGGAGUGUUUUGUUAAAAUUUCCUGAAAAAAAAUCUCAAACCCGCCCCAUACCCAUUUACACUCCUCCAUAACUGCCCCAUUGGUAUCACUACAAGACAAAAGCUCAUGUACCACGUUUGAUGCCCAUGGUAGAUUGCAAGCUACCACAGACACUGUGUCCAUUAGGAAUCUAGAUGUGAUAAAAAGUCUCAUUUCUUUAACACAUAAAAUGCCAAUUAUUAUAUACUAUGUAACCAUGGGUUGUGUUUGUGAUAGAUUGAGAUCUAACACCACGUGCUAUGGUUGUUGUAGAUGACUAAUUGACCACGGCCGUCGGCCAAUGCCCGUCAUAAAAAAAGUUCCACAAAUAAAAAAAACUAUUUAAGAAAAAAAAUAUUUAAAUAUAAAAUAUAAAAUAAUCAAUAAACUUGCACAUUUUAUAAUAAUAUAAUAAUCACAUAAAAAAUCACAGAUUCAAAUAUCACAAGUUGUAUAUUAAAGUUAACAACAAAUUUAAAACCAAUGAGUUAUACUAAGAAAUACCAAAUUAUCCAUGAAGUACCAAAUAGGCCUCCAGUAACAAGGACACUCUCACUUAAAGGCUUCACAUUUAUGUGGAUACCUCCAACCAAAGGACUUUGAGACUAAAAUAAUGCCCCAAAUGCUUGAGCUUCAGAAAUUGAUGAAUUCUCCUUCCCUUACCUCAUCAAAAACCAAAUGAUGUUCCUGGAGUUUUGCAUCGAAUGACGUUCUUGUUAACUACAUUGGAGAAGUAGCAGAGAUGAACAAUUAUAAAACCAAGAAAUGAAGUUUUACAAAGAGAAGAGAAAUGUGAGAAAGAAUGAAUGAAGAUUUUGUAUUGAACUCGAUGAAUUAAACUUAACAAUCUGUUUACAAUAGCUAUAUAUAGCUUACUAGAGGACUAGCUCAUAAGCUUUGAGUAACCUUUCAACUAACUAUUACAUCAUCCAAUCCUUUGCAACUGUUUUGAUGAGCUGGGAGUGAUGAGUUGGUAGUGAUAUAUUCAACAUACCCCCUCAAUCUUAACUGGAUAUCCCUGUUUGAGAUUGCAUGAGUGCUUUGAGAAAUGCAGAAUUAUGAAAGAGAGAAAUCGCAGCAAAAUCUCAAAUACCAAACAUUGAAAUAUGGACAAAUGGACUCACUGCAGGGUGUUCUUGUUCCAUUAAAAUCUUGCAUAGGUACUGGAAUGAGGAAGGAACAUAUGAGAAAGAGAGAAAUCGCAUCUUUGGUGAUGCUUUUUUAUUGAAAAAGGUUUUUGUGCCAUGAGAUUGCAACAAUUUAAGCUUGCUUUGGCUCCUCAUUUUCUUCUCAACUGCGGUCUUCCAGAUGUCAGACCCCAAACCAACCUCGUGGCCAAAGUUCUGCUCAUUGUUAACACUUGGUGAUAAAAUGUAUAGAUGCUACUUGCUCAUAGUUAAAAAACAGAAGUUCUAGAAAAUUGAACCCAUAAACAUGAAAGCUACAUGAGCUUGAAGAGGUACCACCCAGAAAUUCACUAAACUGAUAGGUAUCCAGAACCUAAAUCCAUACUCAAGAACGGUGCAAUUUCAUAUUGGUUCUUCCCAAAGAAUUUCAGCCCUUCAAACUGAUGUCUACACCUCUAUAGCUAUUGCAAACCAAAUAGAAAUUUGCACCCCUUGUAGAUACAAUCUUCUUUGCCUCUCACAAGAGCUUCAAUCAAAGAACAACCUCUUAUAAAGUUGUAACACCCUCAUGCCGGUUAUAACAAUUUCUUGGGGGAUUACCAUUCGUGAGAUUUACCAUCAACAACUUCAUUUAACAUUGGUUUUGGCCUUUAAAACAGAAAAUUAGCAAACUAUAGUGUGGCAUUGGCCUUAACUAUAGUAUCACGGGAUCACCCUUUGUAGAUUUUACCAAAAACAACUACUCUUAACAAAGGCAUCGGCCUUCACAAUUUCAACAACAAAAAAUCAACAUCUAUGUAGGAUUACCUACUCACAUCACGAAAUUACCCUUUCAUGGGAUUUACAACUUCUUCUACCCUUCAUGGGAUUUACAUACUCACAUCACGGAAUUACCCUUCGUGGGAUUUAACAUUAACAACUUCUUCAAACUUCAUCAUAUAACCGGACUUACAGUAGAUACAUGCUAACAAUUGAGCUGGUUAGACUCGAUAUUGUAGGCUAUAAUAAGGAAAAUAUUGCACCACUCCUCAGUUAGCUCCUGAACAAUCUUCUCAGACAUUACACUUGUCAUUUUGGUACAAACCAUAAACUUGUAUAUGCCAGAAUGCAAGAUUUCACACCCAUUUCUCCAAACAUAUCAUGAGUUGUAAAAAAAUCAAACCCAACAAAAGAAACAGAGCAGAAUUUCAGUGAAGUAGAGAAACAAGAAUAAAAACCCAUCUUCAAAACCAUCAAAACCCAUCGCACCUUUCAUUCACAUUUCACUACAAUUCACCUUGUAGAACCGUAAUUCUUAACCAGCAACAAAAAACUUGAAAAACCCAAAAAAUAUCCAUUCUAAUUGUUCAAGUAAUAUCCAUUCUAAUUGUUCAAGUAUUCAGAGAAAAUGGACUGAAAACAUAACCUUCAAAUGAAACUUUUAACCUGGCUCAGAUACCAUGUUAACUACAUUGGAGAAAUAGCAGAGAUGAACAAUUAUAAAACCAAUAAAUGAAGUUUUACAGAGAGAAGAGAAAUGUGAGAAAGAAUGAAUGAAGAUUUUGUAUUGAACUCAAUGAUCUAAACUUUACAAUCUGUUUACAAUAGCUAUAUAUAGCUGACUAGAUGACUAGUUCAUAAGUUUUGAGUAACAAACUCUUUCAACUAACAUAUUAUCCAAUCCUUCACAACUGUUUUGAUGAGCUGGCAGUGAUGAGUUGGUAGUGAUAUAUUAAUCAAUAGUUAUGAGAACGUGCUUUUACGUUUCGAUUGAUCCAUAUUAAGGCUCUUUAUAGAGCUCUUCAUGUUUCUCCCUCGCCCUCCUCCUUUGUGCACUACAAAGAAACUGUAAAUGACGGGAGUUGACAACUUUUUUGGAAACGAAGAGAAUAGCGUCCUCCACAGCUUCCCCUAGCAACAUGAUACUGACGCGGGUUGCAGUGGGAGAAAAGGGUAUUGUGAUUUAUAAUUUUUAAUUUUAACUAGUAACUAUAACAUAUGCGAUGCAUGUGCAAUCAAAUUUACUUUUUAAUUUCAAAAGUAUCGUCACAUCCACAAAACUACAACACAAUUUAUAAAGAAAGAAAAAAGAGGAUUUUUUUUUUUUUUGGAGAGGAAGAGGAGAGAAGUGAGAUUAACGUAAAAAUCAAUAAAUUUUGGGUUUAUGUAAUUACUAAAUGCCCAUUAUUUUUAUUUUUGUUCAGUUUUGAUUUGAGGGUUAAAAUGUUAUUUUUUUGAAAUUUUGGUUGACAAUCAAGGCUCUAUUAACAUGUAAUUUAGAUUAGGUAUGGUAUUUGAUUAAUUUGUCCCUAAAUUAUUUGAUCAAUUGUUCAGUGAAUUUUCAAUAAGCAGAGACAUUUUAGGGAAUUCAAAAUUUUAACCUCGAGCAGUUAAGUUUUGCCAUGCUCCCUUUAUAUUUAUAGAAUAAACUAACCUCUUGUUGCAAGCUUACACGUAUAGCAAUUGACUUUUCUUUUUGUUUAAUUGUAUUUAUUUUUGAUAUUAUUGUUUUUUAUUAAAGUAAAUUUUGAAAAAUAAUAAACUUACUAAUCACCUUACAUAUGUUUAUAACUUUUUUUUUUAAAUUUUAAUGGGAAAAGGGCAAUUUGAGUAUCAUGAAAGUUUAUUUUUUGCCUUGUCGUUAUAUAUAUAUAUAUACAUCCGACUGGUUGAACUAAAAAUUAAAUUGCAACUAUAAUACUUACAGCCCGUGAUAGAUUUAGAAACGUGCUGCAAGUAAAAUUCUUGCAAUAGCAUGCUUGGCUCGUGGUAGUAUUAGCCAACUACAACGGACUUACGUGCGCGUGGUUAAUUUGACUUGUUCUACCACAGGCCAGUUUGUGCCCAUUAUUAAACAGUUAAUUUAUAACGGACUUCGAAUGUCUGUGGUGAAACUGAACCUUCUACAACCGGUUUUACGCUCGUGAUAAAUCAAUCGUGGUUGAUUAGGUGCUGUCUUGUCGUUAUCAGGUAUCUGCGGCGAACCAAACUCGUUGGACUUUUUGCCAUCCUAUAUGUCAGACAUUGUUCCAGUUUUAUAUUUUGAAAGGAAUGAGAUUUUGAGUUUGCAAAUCAGAAGCGUGGUGACAAAUCUUCACCCUAGAGAGCAAUUCUGCAGUGUACACAAAUUGUGUGGUUUACACAAAAAGAAUUUACCCUACAAUACCAGCAUCAGGGUUUCCAGGUCCCAGCACCAUUAGAAAUCCUCCACACAAAUAUAAAUAAAUAAAUAAAAAGGUUCAGACUUGGCAAAUGACGCUUCUGGAUUUUGCUUCUUGCAUAAACUUUUUUUCUCAUGAAUAAAAAAUAGUCAUUUGUAAGUGUAAACUUUUAGAUUUACUCUCGUAUAAAUGAUGAGUUUGAUACUAAAUUGUCAUUGAAUAAAUUGUGUGGUUUAACCCAACCUCAAUAUUAAUGUUGUGUAUCAAAAACAACAACAUCCCUAUUUUUUUGUUGUCCCAUUUUAGAAGCCACAUUUUUGCUAGUUUGUUGGUUCAUUCACCAAGUAACGUGGUAUCUAUUAUCUGUAAUAUAUAGGUAUUAAUGUUGUGCAUAAGAGAGAAUCUUGUCUGGAAAAAAAAAAGAAAUGAGAAUAGUAUGAAAACUUUCUCUUGUCAAAACAAAGUACAAUGAAGAAUCGAACCAAAAUGUGUUAUGCACAGUAAAUUGAGCACCCGACAAAUGGAAAUUUAUUGACGCGAAAGGAUUGCAAAACAGUAUAAUUGACACCACAAAGUACAUGUAUGCAUGUAGCAUUACAUCACUUUGCAUCAUCAUGCAUGGGAGGUAGAUAUCUACAUAGCUUUUGGAAGAUGAGACCUUUCAUUAUUUCGGGUGUUUAUCAUGUAACUUUCGAAAUAGACACUUUGGAUGCGGUCCCUAUCUAUCAAUAUUCUUUGAUUGAAAUCUUGUUAGUUUUUAGUUUUUUAUUGAGGUCCCUGAUAUUAAUGUAAUAAUGUAAGUUACUAUAUUUUUUUAAUUAAAAAUUAAAAAUUGAAAAUUUUAAUUGUUUAUAUUAAUGAGAUUUUAAAUAAAACCCAUAAUUUAUGGGAUUAAAAAUAAUAAAAUAUAAAUUAUUCUCUCUAUUAUAUUGUGUGUGUGUAUACAUAUAUGUAUGGGUACAUUAACCAAAAUUAACAAAAAAAGUUAUUGUACCAAAACAUGGAUACAUUCUCAAAUCAACGAAAAAGAAUGUACCCAUAUAAGUUUAAACAUGGAUUAAAAAAUUUGAAUGGAUUUUAUAUUAAAAAAUGGUACAUUUUACAUAUAACAAAUUGAUAUAUUUGAGAAUGGGUACAUUUAAGAUUAAAAAAAUUGAAAAAUUAUAUGAAUGGGUACAUUUAAGAUUAAAAAAUUGAGAAUCUUUUAUAUAUAAAAAAAAACUAAUAGGUACAAACUUAAUUUAAUUUAAUUUUUUAUUAUUUUGGAAAUGUUUGAAUUGAAAAUUAAUUAGAAGUUUAAUAGAGAUGUGAGUAUUAAACCCUAAAUUAAUUACUAAUUUUUAUAUUAAAAAAAUUAUAUAAUAAACAUGUAAAUUCAUUAUCACAUUAAUGCUAAGGACUUGAAUCAAAAUUUGAAAACUAAUAAGGUGUUAGUCAAUGAACAAUAAAAACUAGGGACCAGAUACUAAUUUUUCCCUUUCGAAAAUCUCAAAUAAUGAUAAUAAUAAGGAUAUGAUUAUUUGGUCUAGUAACACUUAGUUUUCAUUUAAUUAAAGUAAAUUUUGAAUUCAAAUAUCUUGAAUGACAUUUCUUAAUAGAAACUAUUAAAAAUGAGAAAAUCAUAUAGCUUAGAUAUUAGGUUAAAUCUUGUGGCAUUAGGAAUCAAAUAAACAGAUGUGCCUUUCAACAUAGGUUUCCUUUUCCAACAAGAGACCAAAAAUUUGGAAAAACGGUUAAAGUCGGUUAUAUCAGGCUUGAAAAUUCCCGCGAAUGCCCAACUUUGAAGAAUACCAAACCUUGCCUCCCACACCUAUCCAAUGUCUUCUGAACAAAAACUUCCCAGAAACAAUCCCUUUCCUUCAUCCCAACAUCUCCCAAAACCCGAAAUCUCAGACUCUCUCCUAUCCCAAGCAAAGCAUUUAACCCUCUUAUAUCAACCCAGCAAACAAUGUCCCAAUCACAUCUUCACCAUUAUUCUAAUCUUAUUUCAUUCUUCAACUCUCGUUUCUCCAUCUCGAAAUGGAAUCCAAACAAACAGCGGCAGCAGCUAGUACCACCCGAUUGAGCCCCUUCAAGUACUCGAAACGGGUGCUCUUGAAAACCAUCUUGGAGAGAAGGGAUGGUGGUUUGGAGUUAAUUGGUGAGAGGGUUGUGAUUGGAGGGUGGGUGAAGUCCUCCAAGGAGGUCAGGAAAGAGCCUGUGCCACGUAUAGAUGGUGAUCAUGUGCCGGGUGAACCCGAACCAAGGUCAGACGUCAGCUGCGUCGAAAUUCUUCAGUCUCGGAUACCUUUUUUACGAACAAUUGUCAAGGUUUUGGGAGGAGGAAGUGGUGGCAAUUAUCCUCUUAAGGACAAGUUGGAGGCGGCGCUUCAUAAGCCUCCGCCACCUUCCACUGUCUUCUUGAAAGUUGGGGAUGGUUCUUGCGUUGCAAGCCUUCAGGUAAAUACGAGCACUACUAUUUAUACCAUCUCAACUGAUGAUAUUUUGUACCAUAUGCGACACACAAAUUUAGAGAUGGUACAAAUAAUUUUGUUACUUGGAGUAAUUAUCCAAGUUUUUAAAUGAAUUUUUAUAGGCAAUGAUGAAAGUUGUAUUUGAUGUUUCUCAGGUUGUCGUUGAAUCCUCCCUGGCUCCCCCAGGCCAGCUCUUGCAUACUGGAACUUGCGUCAUAGUGGAAGGCUUGCUGCAGAAACCUUCGGUACUACAGGGCAAACAUGUUAUCGAGCUGAAAGUGGAUCAUGUCCAUCACAUCGGAAUAGUAGAAUAUAGCACGUAUCCAUUAUCCAAAAAACGUGUGCCUCUAGAUAAACUAAGGGAAUUUUGCCACAUUAGGCAGCGGACAACUACGGUAAUUUGCAUCUCCCAUUGUUAUUUGGUUGCGCUUCUUCAACUUUUUUAUAUCUGUUGUGAAAUUAAGUGUUUGACAUAAUGCAAUUAAAUUUUGAUCAUGACAAAGGGUGCAUAUGAUUGAUGUACACUCUGGUUUAUUUCCUAACAGCUUACGUUUUUUACGUCUAGUGAUUCCUUAAUACGAUAUUACAUAUUCUACUUACUUAUUUAGGUGCAAUCUGUUAUGCGAAUCCGCAAUGCCUUGGAGUUUGCCGCUCACACAUUUUGUCAAAACAAUGGUUUUCUUUCGGUGCAAGUACCCAUUAUAACAACUACAGACGGCAAAGGAUCCAGCGAAAAGUUCCAUGUCACUAGCCUUUUCACCGAAGCAGGUGAAAAGGAGGAGCCUAAGAAAGCUGUUGCUGAAAUUGAUGGUGUUAGUCUAGAUGUUAUCAAGGCUGCAGUAAAAGAGAAAAGUAACUUACUAGAGGAACUCAAGAGGACAGACAGCAAUAAGGAAGCAGUAGCUGCUGCAAUGCAGGACUUAAACAAAACAAAUGAGUUAGCAUCACAACUGGAAGCAAGAGAGAAAUCAAAGCCGAAAACUUCUCAGAAGGUUGACAAUGUUAAAUCUUCUGAGGGUUACUUCUCUAGCCCAACUUAUCUAACCGCUUCUGGCCGGAUGCAUCUGGAGAGCUACGCUUGUGCCCUUGGAAAUGUGUACUCAUUUGGGCCAAGAUUUCGAGCAGAGAAAGGAGAGUCCCCAAAACAUGCUGCAGAAAUGUGGAUGCUUGAAGUUGAAUUGGCCUUUUCAGAAUUAGAGGUAUAAGUUUAUGUUUUUGGCAUGAGUAGGUGUGUUAUCUCUUUCUUUGUCACAUCUAACAAUUACCUUCUCGAGCUUUCAGGAAGCAAUCAAUUGUGCUGAUGACUUUUUCAAGUUCCUCUGCAAAUGGGUAGUGGAAAAUUGUUCCGAAGAUAUGAAAUUUGUUUCUCAACGAAUCGACAAAACCAGAAUUGAUCGCCUUCAGUCGAUCAUUUCAAGUUCAUUUGAAAGAGUUUCCUACAGUGAAGCAUUAGAUGCAUUAAAGAAGGUUUUACUAUAUAACAUUGUCCUUGAGUAUAAUUCUGACAAUCAUUUCUUUCUCCAGCUAUAUUAUUUACGAAAGUUAAUCGAUUUUAAAUUGCCAGGUUACAGACAAGAAAAUUGAGACAAAAAUUGAGUGGGGUGCUUCACUAACUGAAGCAGAUCUAAGGUAUGCAAAUGAACAUUGUGGUAAUAACUAAAUUAACCAGUAUCUCAGUUGAGGUUCUUAACAUUUUCUUUUUUCAUGCAUUACAGUUAUUUGGCUGAUGAGAUAUACAAGAAGCCUGUAAUUAUAUACAAUUAUCCAAAAGAAACCAAGCCAUUUUAUGUCCGGUUGAACGAUGAUGGAAAAACAGUUGCAGCAUUUGAUAUGGUUGUUCCAAAGGUAAGCUCAUACUUGCACUUUAAGAAACCAUGAGAAACAUUUUAUCAAAGCUUCCCCAUCCCUACAAAAGUGCAAAUUAAUUGAAAACUACUGAAAAAUGCUUAUUUUUCUCAGGCUGGGAGAUUAUUUUCUGGUAGCCAAAAUGAGGAGCGCAUCAACAUUCUAACUGCAAGGUACUCACUUGCAUUAAUAAUCUUAUAUAAUAGCCAAAAACUCAAAAGGUUGUUCUUUCUUUCUUGUGACCAAUGAAACUAAUAAAUAAAUCUCAAAUUUUGGUGUUUCUUGUUUGCAGGAUUAAGGAGUUGGGAUUGGCAGCGCAGCAGUAUGAAUGGUACUUGGAUCUUCGCCGGCAUGGAACGGUUAAGCACUCGGGAUUCAAUCUUGAGUUUGAUCAUAUCGUUCUGUUUGCUACUGGCCUGAAUGAUGUAAGGGAUGUCAUCCCCUUUCCCAGAAGCCAUGGCAAAGCCAACUACUAGUCUACUUUGGGUACAAAUUAACAUGUAAAGGGCCUAAUGGGUGAAAAAUUGUGUACAUACAUUGAUGGAAAACAUAUGAUUUCAUACAUGUGAACGAAUAAGGAGAUUUGUGAUUGGGAUGCAAACCUUGUAAAUUUGUUUGUAAUUGGGGAUGCAAGCCUUGUAAAAAUUUGUCCGUUCUUUCUUUGAAAUUUGAAUCAUUUGGCACCAAAAUAUGGAAUUCCAUUAGCUUUAAGGACAACUUAACAAACAGAUAAUAAAACACGGUUCAGUGCCCCUCUUUAUUGCACUUUGUACAUCUUCUUUUCGGAAUAUCGUAUACUAGACGUACAAAUUUUAUGGAUAAGCUAUAGCCAUUACAUUAUUAUCAUCCACGGCAUGCAGGGUAUUGUUUGAAUCAAGAGGGUAGAAAAAUGGAUAGAGCUCAUAUCUAACGUAGCAGCUACUAUACAAAACUCUACAUCCCUUUCUGUUGUUACAAAAAGUUGGGAAAUUUCCCACUGCAAUAGCUAGGCACUGAGAGCAGCCUAGCUUAGACAAGUCCCUUGUGCACUGCACCAAAGCAUAGAGUGUCACAAAUGGUGAUAGCUUUGUCUCACCUUUCCCGAGCCCUCCACUCUCCGGCACAACAGCUUGUUUCCUAAUCUUAUCUGUCAGAGCUCCUAAUUCCUCAUUAAACUUCUCGGGGUCGGUCACAUUGUAAACAUUAUAGUAAAAUAUACCAUAUGAUGUGUCAACUUCCCCAAUGAAGCUCUUGUCACUGUACCUCAAGAAGCAAUAGUCAUACCAAAUUCGCGCGUCUGCUUGGUUCGGACAGCGCUGGCGGAUUUGCUUCGCAGCGUCUUGGAUGCAACUUGAGCAGUCUUUGGUGCCCACAACGUCACCUCUGCACUGAGCCAGGCCAUAAACUUGGUCUUGCUUUUCCCCAUAGGUGGUAGCCAAAAAGCCGGUUGAGGCAGUUUUCGGAACCAAUUCAGCCAACAAGCUAUCAAUAUUUUGUGAUAUUUGAGUGCCAUUACUUAUUUUAGUGCUAUCUUUGUUGCAGAAAUCUCCCAAAGGAUCUUGAGAUUCUGCACUGCAAUUGCUUAAAACUAGCAAAUAGAGAAGAAUGUGGUAUGAAAAGUUCAUAAUCUUCAUAUUUUGACUCACUUCAAAGCAUAGCUGAAGAUAGAUUUUGUGAGGUGGUUGUUUAUAUGACAAGCAGUGAAGUGGAGAUGGAAGUGGAAGUGGGGAAGCCAUUACAAAUUAAGCACACAUUUUUGACUUUGUUGGCUCACUACAUUAUAUCACCAAAGACUGGAAAAAGGAAAGUAAAGGCUUCCAGUAGGAGAUUAGAUUCCUUGGCUCCCCUCUUGUUCAAGUCAACAGAUUCAAACCUAGAGUAAAAUUGGCCAUUCCAGAACGAUUUGAGUUUGUAAUAUCUUAGGCUAGUGCUUCUUUUAAUCAUAACUACUUUAGUCUAAGCUUAUCUCUCGUGCUUUCUAUCACUAAAGCAGUAAGCGUUUCAGAAAAAAAAAACUCAUUCAAGUAAGUUUGGCACACAUAUACAUUCAUAUAAUCUAAGUUUGUGUUUAAUGGCCUAAUUUGGAUUAGUUUAUUAAUAUUUAAAAAACCAUGAUUUAGUACUGACUUGGUACUGAUGUACUUUUAUAAAAAGUGGGUAUAAAAAAAAACUGAACUAAAAAAUGUGUUUGGUAAAUACUUAAAAACAGCUUAUUUUCAUAGUUUUUGAUGAAAAAAAUCUGAAAACGUGAAGCAGCAAAAAUAAGCUUAUUCUCACAGCACAGCAGAAGCAAUUUUUUUUCAAAACACAACAAUACCAAAUCAAUCGGCAUAAAAACCCUAGCAUAUACGGUAUCGGUCCUCACCGCAUGAUUGAUAAUAUCUAGUGGGUUUUCACCCUCAUCAAUAAACAUGGUUAUAUCAUAACGCAAUUGUUUUCGUGAUUAGGAUUUAUCUUAAAUUAACCCACCUUUUUUAUUGUUUUUUUCUUUGCAUGCUUAUCUAAUGUAACUUUAUAUAAACUUAGGUUUUUAUCACAAAUAGUUCUUGAAAUUGACUCUCACCAUCAAGAUGAUCCUUAAAAUUGAAAAUCAAUCAAUGUAGUCCUUGAAAAUAGGUGUCACAAAUCAAUGUGGUCCUUCUGUCACAAUUCUGUUAAAAAUUUCGUUAAGUAACAAUGUGGCACAUAAAUGGGUUUCAUAAGUCCUAUUUUCUCACAAAUUGUUUUUGAAAUUGACCCGCGAUAUCAAAAUGGUCCAUGAAAUUGACCUGUGACAUCAAAAUGGUCCUUGAAAUUAACAUGUGACAUCAAAGUGAUCCCUGAAAUUAAAAUUUGAUCAAUGUAGUCCCGUAAAUAAGGGUCCCCAAUCAAUGUAGUCAUUCCAUCACAAUUAUGUCAAAAAUUCUGUUAUGUGCUGAUGUGACACAGAAAUGGAUCACACAAGCCUAACUAAAUUAAAAAAAAUUACAAAUAGGCUUAAUAAUUUAAUUGUUAAUAAAAAAUUGUGAACCCAAAAACCCAGUCCUACAAUCACCUCUAAUCCCAAUCCACAUUCCUCUACCUUCUUCGCUGUCUAUUCUCUAAAAAAACCUCAAUACAUCCAACUUUACACACUUCGACACCUUCACCAAAUUGAACCUGGAUCAAGAUCACCUUUGAUGACGACUUGGCUGAUUGGCAACGACUUUUGGGACAUCACCGUUAACAUUUAGGUGAUCAAUAUCUUCACAACUUUAAUAUUGGAGAGCUUGUUCGGCGCUUCUGUAACGACCCAUCCCUAAAUAUUAUGGUUUUUAUAAUUUUAAAAUGAGAUAUUACGAAAAUGCCCUUCGAGGCAAAAACGUUAAUUUUGUUGACCACCUUGUCGUGUCACAUAAGAUUCAUUUUCUUGGCAUAUCCUUGUAGCACUCGUCACUACGAGGGUGUGGGCGCAAGCGGAAUCGAAAUUGGAGUUAUGAUGAACGUUUUAUGGAGCUAUGAAGUUAAGGGGUAAAAUAGUCAUUUCACUAUUCUAGAUAUUUUUGUUAAUUUAUAAAAAUCUGUCACUUAGGGCUACACCCCACUUCCCCUUGUGCCACAUGUCUUCCCCUCCCCCAAUCUCUGGGACUCUCUCGAUCUCUCUCUCCCUCAUUUUUCUAUCACCCUUCCCCUCCCCCCCACCCCCCCCCCCCCCCGGAGCACACCCACGGACCCCUUACUCACCAUUUUCACCUCAAACCAACCACCACCUCGCCACCCUUCCUUCGGCAAACCGCCCAGACCACCAUCACUUCCCCUAACUUGCUUUGGUCGCCAGGUGGAUGGUUCGAAACGCACAGUGGCCAUUGCCACUAUUCUUGAUUUUCCUGGCGAUUCCUCGAUUUUCCGAUGAUGAUGAGUCUCGGGACUUCCUUAAUCUUCCUUAUCUAGAUAUCCUAACUUUAAUUGUUAGGUUAGACAUGCAUAUUUAUGAAAUUCUGGUGCAGAUCAAUUGGAGGAAAAAUUCCCCAAAUUUCGGCGAAUAUCCGACGGCUUCGAACCCUUUUUCGGCCAACUCCAACCACAGCUGAGGAAACCAAAGGUAUAAUCUUCUUCGUUGUUCCUUGGGCUUCAUUUUGGUAUGUAGAAGGACUAGGUUUAGUUGAGAUUCGAGGUUGAUCAAAGCUUUGGAACCUCCAACUUUCUUUUUCGUGGAGUCCACCCAACCUACGAUGUGGAAUCGGGUUGACUCGACCUGCAACUCAAAACCAGGCACAAACCUUUGGGCCAUGUAUCAAGCCCAACUCAUUGACCCUAACAUAUUUAUCUUAACCCAGGCCCAACCCACUUACCGUAACCCGGAUCCAAUCCAAUGACCAGGACCCCAUCUCAGUUCCAUGGUCUGCGUGUGGGUGUGCGUCAUGGCCGAUGCACGUCUCUACUGGAGGUACUGUGCUGUAAUAUCCUCAAAAUUUUAGGUAAUGAUUAAGAGUGAAUUGCUUGCGGCCAUUAAAAGUUCUCUUACUUUUGAGACCAAGCUUUGGCUUGAAAAGAGAAGAACUAAAAGAAAAGAAUUCAUGUAAAAUUUAAAAAAAAAGGGAAAAGGGGAUGGGGUUUCUAGAAAACCCCCUCAUAUUGCUGUUUUCCCUUUCAGCCGAAAGGAAUGAAAGGAUUUAUCCCUUUUAUCCCUUAAAUUGUCAAAACAAAAAUUGAAGGAGGAGGAAAUUAGCUUUCCUUUCCUCUAUUUGUAAAGAUUAGAACAAGUGAGGAUCUUUCCUUUGUCUCCAUUUAAGGUAUCUAUUUCUUACCCUUGGAAUCUAAUUGUUAUUGGUUUGAUAACCCAUGAAUUAGUUUGGGUGGGAGUAGGAAACAGGAAAGUAUCAUAGUUCAUGCUAUAGUUUUAGAGUUGAGCAUCAAGUGUUUGAUUAAAGCCCCCAAUUAAUCUUGAAUUAGGGUUCGUUGUCUGAUAUUUUGUAUAAGUGGUGUGUGAUGAUUUUUCUUUUUAUAGAUAAGGAGGAGAAGACCAAGGUGACUAUGGAACAAGUUGACGAACACCCUGGGAGUUGAAUAUCAAGAAAUUGUGUUGAGGUAGGGGAGUUUUAAUCAAAAAGAAAUAUUUUGGAUUUUCAUUUUUACUUGAUCAAGGAUUGUUGGCAUUUGAGCACUAUUUGAAGCUUACCUAAAGUGUUUUUCUUUUUUCGAUUAUAUGAAAGAAGUGAAGAAAAUAUUUCUCUAUGGUUUGAUCUUAAUGAUUCGAAUUCCGUUGCUACAACUUUGGUGAGUUUAAAAUGAUUGAAAUGAUUUUUCAAGAUUUUGUUUUGAUGUGCAUGCCUCUUAUUUUACUCAAUAUCGAAUUUUGAAGCAUUUUGAUACGAAUGUUCAAAUUGUGAAAGAAUAUGGAAAGUAGUAUAAUACAUGUGCACAAUGACUCGUGAUGUUGUUGAUUAUGGGCACAAUGACCCAAUGUUCCCCGGGAAGAGCUCCAUGUAUGGAAUGUGAGAAUGAGUUAUCAAAGUGAUAAAUACGUGUGAUAUGUAAAUUGGCCAGUUAUUACUAUUGUUCGUUCCAAUCUGCUAGUCACUUGUUUGGGAUAAUAGAAAAUCUUUGAGAUUAGUUGUGUUUGUGUUUCUUUAAAUGAUAAUGGCUUUAUUAUCCUUAUGACAAAGGAAGUGACUUCUGAACCAGUGUGUUGUACCGUUGUUAACAAAGCUACUAAUGUUCUAAAACUUUGGUUUUUCUGUCAUAUGUUACCUCCAAGCAUUUUUGGAGCAUAUUUAAGAUUGUUGGAUUUUGUGGUAAUGAAUAUAAAUGUUUUCGAAUUACUUUUAUUAUUUUCUGGCAUGCACCAUAAAUUUUAAAUGACUACAGACUUACUGAAAGCCCCCUACUGGGCAUUUUAUGCUCACCCGUUUUUCUAAACAUGUACUUUCAAGUGUGUAGAGUCGGCUAGCUAAUUUUCAAGUGGCAGCUCUAGUGUGGGAUAGUAGAAGGGAGUCCAGACGUACACUUCCUUUGGGUGAGCUGCCAAAGUGUUUGUAUAGUUAGUCUCUAUCUGUAAAUGAUCCUUUUGUGCGUAGUAGACUAAAAUGAUGUCGACCUCGGUGGGUUUAAGUUUCUACUUACCUGGGCUAUGAAAACCAUGUAUAUGUAAUUACUCGUCUUUUGGCUUAUAUAGUUUUGUACAUGUACAUUUUCCUCAAAUGGCCUGAAUAUGUUUCCUUGUAAGAAGCCUUGAAAGCCUUUUGUGAACUCAUUAUAAUCUAUAAGGUUUUAUGAAUGACUUUUGAAGAACCACUAUGAACUUGGUUAUGUUUAAAACUGAGGGUGUGUUUCUACUACCUAAGUGGUAUUUUGCAAAAUUUCAGAUUUUUGUUCUUUGGAAUAUAGACAGUUUAUUUACAAAGUAAUUUGGUGCUGCUGAAAUUGUUUUUACAUGAAAACAGCAGCAUGCCUGUUUUAGAUUUAAAUUUUCCUAUAAUUCCCGAACUCGAAAAUCAAUGAAAUUUUGACACAACUUAGAUUCAUGUGUCUACUUUGGAUCUGGAAAUUUUCACUCGUUUUGGUUGAACGAGCUAUUUUCGGUGAAUUUUACGGUUCAGGUCGUUUUUGUAGUUUGUAUAUUAUCAUGAGAUCUUUAAUUUUUUUUCUCAAAAAUUGACUUUUGUAGUUUGAUUUAAUGGAAUUGUGGAAUUUAAAUUUUCGUUGAGAUAAUCUUAAAAUGAGAUAUGUUUUACACCCUUGAACAACCACUUUGUCUAGUUAUUCUCUUAAUCUCACACCUCGAGUUUUGGGAUGUGGCAUGUGCUCUACUGCAGUGGACGGUGGUGACCACGGCGGCGCCGGCGACCUUUCUGGCGACCCACAUCAACAUGUGGCCUUCCAGGCCACCGCCUUGUGGCAGCGUAUGGAAGAACCCGAGGUCCCUCCUAGGUUUUUCGACUUGCCGAAUCCGAAUCAGCUAUCCGUUUUCUGAAAUUCGAUCGUUUUAAUAGAGUUUUACUAAAUGACCUCUAUAUGUGGUUAGGUGCAUCAGUUGGAAGUGAUACCACCUCGCUAGUUCGAGUGGCUCUCAGGCAAUGAAAUACUUGUGAGUGGACCCCUUCUUAAUUGCAUGUUUUUAUAAAAUAUUAGGUUUGCAUGCAUUUCAUAUUUCAUGAUUUGAGUAUGUUUUAUAUUAUAUUUUUACGGAUUUCUAUAAUUAUGACUUGAGGAGAAUUUAUGAAUUAUUUAAAUUGUAAGGAAAUAUUAAUGAUUUAUUGAAUUGACAUUUUACUAACGGUUAUGAAUAUUUGGAUUUACGUAUUUGAAAUUCUCUGGAUUUACGGAUAUGAAUUAUCAUGGAUUUUUAUGUUGAGACUUUGAGCUUUUGAGCUCUGGUGAUUGCAUAUGAGUUUUGAGGUAUGUUUUCGGUGCUUAUCUAACGGGUAUUGAUGAUAUACCCGGUAUGUAGACGUCUAUGGUCAUAGGAUACAGUUUAUGAUAUUGAUGAUAUGCCCCCAGCUUCACUAGCCCGGGGUUAGUGUCGGUAUGAUAUGUUAUAUGUAUAGGUUUCUUCUCCGGUGUAACCUGGAGUCGUACAACUUCACCUUCGAGUGAUAGAGCCCCCAUUUCUUCUCUGGCAUAACUUGGAGUUGUACAGCUUCACCUUCGGGUGAUGGACCCACUGCAUAUACAUAUAUGUUAUAUCCUCUUUUCUGGCGCAACCCAGAGUCGUACAAAUUCACCUUUGGGUGAUGGACCAUGGUUUCUUCACUGGCGUAACCUAGUGUCAUAUAGCUUCACCUCUGGUGAUGGUUAUGCCUUCGGGCCACUAUGAUACCCCUAGUGAGUACAAUAUUGAUGAGAUUUACAGAUUUGCCCUCGGGCAGCUAUAGCACCAUUAUUGAGCAUUGUUUUACAUGUACAUGUUUUACGAACGUUUUCAUGGCAUGCUACAGUUUUCAGAAAACCAAUUAUGUAGUAUUAUAUGUGUUUUCAAAACAGGAGAUUAAUAUGUUCAUAAAAAAUGGUUUUCUUAUUAUUAGUACUAUUAUUAUAAACAUUGGUCCACUCACUCUUUUGGUUUUACGCCCCCUUAAGGAUUUAGAUUCGAGGCACACGAUCCCGGCGUCACGGCACUUCUGCUUAAGCAUCUUCGAGUCUACUUUGUGUAUGAUCCAUUCCUCAGUUCGUAUCUUUUUAUAAUAAUUCUUUCACAUUAUUCUUGAUUAGUUAUAUGCUCUGACCACGGUUCUGCUUUAGUAUAUUGUUUCUAAUCACAUAUUUCAUCUGUAUGCAUGUUUAAAAUGGCUUCGUCACACUCGGGUGUUGGCAUCACAUGUCUAUCCUGGUAUUUGGGGAUAUUAGGAUCGGGGCAUGUCAUUUCCCUGGUGAUCUGGUGACUCAAAGAAUGGCGAGGUCUACCUUGAGAUAAUGAGGUUAUAAUUGAGGUGCAUCAAUUUUUUGUUGAAAACUAUUUCCAAACCCCCUCUUAGACCUUGGUUAAGUCUUGUGCCUUUGAGAAUUUAUGUAAGGGAUCUCUCUUCGGAGUAGGUUCUACUAUAAGAAAAAAAUUCUAUUGUGCAAAAAGGUAUCUAGACAACUUUUUAAUUAAUUAUUGUACCCACAUCAGCACAUAACAAAUUUUUUACAGAAUUGUGGCGAAAUGAUCAUAUUGAUUUGCAACACUUAUUUUCAAGGACUACAUUCAUCGAUUUUCAAUUUUAGGGACCAUCUUGAUGGUGUGGGUCAAUUUCAGGGAUAAUCUUGAUGGUGUGAGUCAAUUUCAAGGACCAUUUGUGAUAAAAACCCGUAAAUCUUGUGGGGCCUAUUUAUGUGCCACAUCAACAUUUAACAGAAUUUUUAACAGAAUUGUGACGGAAUGAUCAUAUUGAUUUGCGACACUUAUUUCCAGGGACUACAUUAAUUGGUUUUCAAUUUCAAGGACCAUCUUGAUGGUGAGAGUCAGUUUUAGAAACCAUUUGUGAUAAAAACCCUAUAAACUCUAUAAAUAAAUUAUGCAUUAGAAUAUGGUUUGUCCUUUAAAGAAGAAAGGAAAAAGGCUGCGGCUGCUACCAUUAGUUUUGAAAUACAAAAAGGGGUACCAAAAACCACCUCAAUUAUAGGUCCAACCAUAAUCUCAUACCUCAUGUUUGAAAAAUUACAAUGUCAUACCUUAUCCUACAAAUUCGUUUCAAUGUCAGACAUCCAUUAGUUUUUCUGUUAAAUGAUGACGUGGCUUGAGAUUGGCCCUACUCUUUAGUCCAAAUGCAUUAAAAAAUUAAAUCAUAAAUUUAUUUAAAUAUUUUUAUUAACAAAGUGGGACCCACCCCUACAAACUCAUCAACCUCACCAAAUUAAUCUUUGAAACCAAACUCCCCCAUAAUCUUCCUCUUCUUCAUCUCCACUUUACACUUUUCUGUUUCCUUUCUCAUCUCCACUCUACACCAUCGUCGUCCGCCACCGCCUCUCUCCCUCUCUUUAACUGAUGUUGCCGCCAGUCCUUACAAAAACGAGGCAUUUUCGAAAAAUCUCUCCAUCUCUUCUUCUUCUUGCUGAUGUGGCAUCUCCUCCAUGGGCAUAGCAAAGAUGGGCAUGGCUCGAGGCGCUCUGGUUCUCUGGUUCUCAAAGAAAGGCCACCCAUAAUUAGUUCUCUGUCUGAGGCACUUUUUCACAGCGCGGUGUCUCUACAAGAAAUUCUUCAUCUUGCGGCGACAUUGCAUGUGGAUUUCGAUGACUCGCCGAACUCGUAGUUGCACCUGGUCGCCACGAUCACCACCAACUCUUUCCACUGACUCGAGUUCUGAUGGCCCCUCCUUGGCUGCACCGUCUCCUCUUAGGUUCACGGCAAUGGCUGGGGCUUCCUAGUAGAGGUUGUGGGCGACGACAAUGAUGGUGCAGACAUUGAUGUGGGGGUGAUUAGGGCUAACAAUUUGAAAUUAGGGUUAGGGUUUGGGUUUGGGGGAAAUUAGGGUUUUUUUGUUUGAAAUUGGCAUGGAGAUUGUGGGUGUUUGGUUACAGAUAAAUUUGGUGAGAGUGGGUCCCACUUAUUUUAUAAAAAUAUUAAAUUAAUUUGUUAUUUAAUUAAUUUUUUAAUCUAGUUGGACUAGGGAGUGAAGCCCACGUUAGCAUUUAACAGAAAAAUUAAUAGAAAAAUUGACGAAUGUUUGACUUUGCAACAAAUUUGAAAGAUGAGGUAUGACAUUGUAAUUUUUCAAACAUAAGGUAUGAGAUUAUAGUUCAAUCCAUAAUUGAGGUAAUUUUUUGUAAUUUACUCUAAAAAAAUAACGCCGCUUCCGUUGCAUUUUAGUGCGUAGCAAAUUUAAUCACCGGUUUUCAACGAAUGUUUUUGCAAGAGUUUUUCUUUUUGAAAAAUGAAUGUCAGAUUGUCCAAGGCUUAUUAUAUUAACACCCCACAAAUUGUUGAAUAAACCCCACAUACUUAAUACAUCCCACAUUUACUUUUUCACUUAAAAAUUAUCUUAAUACACCCCACAUACUUUUCCAUAAUACCCUCAUACCCCACAUUCUCAAUAUACACCUUAUAUUUUGUACAUACACCCCACAUCUUCUAUACACCCCACACUCAACCUCCAAUUUCCAUUCAUCUCCUUCUCCAACAUUGACUCCUUUCAACAUAAAUGGACAUCCGCAUUUUUUAGUACCAAUAUUCCUGGGUUCUUUUUUCUUCUUAUUAUUUGCAUCAGAAUUUUGGUCAUUAAUAUCAGACUUCCUCAAUAUGGAUCGAUACUCACCAUGUCUCUCACAAGCAAAUGUUAUUCGAGCUCUCUUCCUCCUUCGGUCAACCCCUCCCGCAUUAUACCUCUUAAUGACAAUAACCAUAUUAUUCUUUUUUCCUUGUGCGCGAGUCCAAUCAAGCAAAUCAUUUUUACUUUUGAACACCUGUACAUACAAGAUCAUUGCCAUUUUCCACUAACAAAAUGUUUGUAGACAUGCUAAGAUUCCAACCCAUAUGUUAUUCCCUAUUAUGAACCUAAUGCACUGUGCUGCAUAAAAGAAUGCAAGAGUUUCCAUGAAAAUCACAGAUGCACAUUCAAUAUACUAAAAAUAGUUACCUUGUCAGUUUUAAAUGCGUUUGUGUAAUCAACAACGCUCGUUGUUGCAACCUCACUAUCCCCUAUAGAGGUAUUGCCUUGUAUGCUAUCCUAUUUAAAUACACCAAAAAUUAUUAUCAAAUCCUCAUUUAUUUACUAAGAAUCAUACACCUCAAUUAUUUGUUAAGAACCAUACAACUCAAUAUCAAUAGGCAGAGUGGUACAUGCCAACAAACUUGUGAUGCAUUUUUAGGUCCAACCUCCAAAAUAUUUUGUCGCUUUCCAAUGUUCAUUUCAAGGGACAUAACCAAACCUUCUCUAAGAGGAUCACUGGCUGGAUUUGUAACCUGCAAAGAAGAAAAUGAAUAACCAAUGGAAGAAAAAAAAAAGGAAUAUGAAAUUAACCAAACCACCGAUGAAACAUAGUUGAGGCCAUAAGGGAUAUGAAAAAGGCAUAUGAAGUCUUACCUCAUGUGAAGGUUCCGAAAUUUUUUUCUCAAUCAACAUGUUUAUAGUUUCAUUGAUUAGGGUUUUGUUCAACAAUGGAGGGUGGGAGGGUUUUGAUAGUUGAGAAGAUAAAUAAUAGGGUUUAGUGAUUUGGGGUGUAUUUUGAGAUUUUUAUUUCAUUUUUUUAAAACCUAAUAAGGUCAAAAUUGUCAUUGCAUAGUGGGGUAAAUAAGUCAUUUAAUAUUAAAUUUUAAUGUGAGGUGCAUUCAACAUUUUGUGGGGUGCUAAUAAAAAAAGCAUUGUCUAAAUAUUAUUUUUGAAAGCAAGUUUGACGGCAGCCGCCAAACGGAGUUGGUUGGUCUUUAAAAAUUAUAUUAUUUUAUAUAUUUGCAUGAUCAUGUUAUUUGAAGAAAAUUAAGGUUCCACCAUAAAAUAAAUUGGUCAUAUAAGGAGUAGUCCAACGUUUUAUAAGCCUUUACAAAGUUUCUCUUUUCACCAAUGUGGGACUAUUUUACCUUCAUAUUCUCACACGCUUUCUCACGCAUGGUGAAUUUUCAAGCCAAACAUGUGGACAACACGAAUUGGGUGAAGAAAGUUGACCUUCCACCAUAAAAGAAAUUGGCAAUAUGGGAGUAGCACAACCUCUUAUAAGCCCUUGCAAGGUUUUUCCUUUCAUUAUUAUCCUAUAGAGUUCGGGAAGAAUGUGACUAACAACCACGUUAGUAUCUUGCAAAGUUUAAAAAGAAAGUUAUUAACGACCACGUUAGUGUCGUGCCACUUUCACUCAAAUGCUGAAGAGGGAUCGAGUUGUUGAAAUAUCCCAUAUCGACCAUAUCUCUGAGAAAAGAAGGGUUUAAAUGUCCUAACAUCGCUCCAACUAAUACCGAGGUCUUUUAUGACAAAUGUUAAAAUCCCACAUCGGCUAGAGAAAGAAAGAAAGAAAGAAAAGUUUAAAUAUCAUAAUCCCACUCCAACUAAUAACGAGGCAUUUUGUGAUAAAACUGCACACCUAACGAAUUUUGCAGGUGGUAUUACCAAGUUGGGGACAGUAUCAGUGUUGUUGGUAAUGAGCCUUUUGCCUGUCUCUCUAAUAAUUCUACAUGGUAUCAGAACCAGGGAGCGGGCCAGUAUUGUAUUGUCACAUGAUGGGUGGGUUCCCUUCGCCCCGCAUGUAAGCUGAGUCCUAUUGACUUCACGUGGUUGCCGAUGUGUGGAUCUUCUAUGUGUGACCCACUAAUUAGGUCUCACGUGAGGAGAUGUGUUGAAAUCCCACAUCAGCUAGAGAAAGAAAAAAGAGUUUAAAUAUCUUAAACCCACUACAACUAAUACCGAGGUUUUUUGUGAUAAAACCUCACACAUGAUGGAUUGUGCAGGUGGUAAUUACCAAGUUGGGAACAAUAUCAAUGUUGUUGGUAAUGAGUCCUUGGCCCAUCUCUCUGAUAAUUUUAUAAUAAAACCCCACACCUGACAGAUUAUGUAAGUGAUAAUUACCAAAGUAGAGACAAUAUCAGUGUUGUUGGAAGUUGGCUUAUGACCCGCCUCUUUGAUAAUUCUACAUGAGUAGCAAAGCGUGAAGACAAAACUGCCUACUAAUAGGUGUGUCUAGUUGAAUGAGUUUUGUAAGUCUUUCUAUACUCAUUUCUCUUAGCGUGUGUAUUGGCUUGGGAGCCGAGGAAUUUCUCAGUAGUGGGUUUUGCCUCGUUAAAUCCUACAUACUAUGUGAAUAUUUUAUUUAUCUUUUUUACUGCAUAUGUGUAUGAUAAGUUGAUAUGUAUUGUGAAUGUGAAAAUUAAAUUGAAAAUUGAUUUUGAAUUUUUAAGUUGUAACCUAUUCAUCCUUCCAGAUUAACCUAGUACCCAUCUGAGAACUUUUACUUACUACACAUAUAGUAGGCUUAAUCCCCCUUAACUUAAGCAUGGCAUAUUUUCUUACUACAAAUGGAGGUUUUGUAGGGAAGGACUCCUUCAGAGAAUUGAUUCUUUUUUUACUUUUUCUUUUUUCCUUCUGGUUUUUUAUUUAUUUUUGGACUAAGGUCUGUUGAGAGGACUGAAAUUUGGACUUGGGCUUAAGGAAGUUAACGGAAUGGGCUGACGGAGAAAUACUUUUGUCAGGGGCACAUGUUGGAAUUAAAGUAAUUGGUGCACUCUGGGCCUUUUAUUCUGCGUGCUGGGCUUUAGUUUCUAAGCCUGGCUCCCGUUAAUUUUGUCCUUAUCAUUACUAAAAAUUGAUUUAACUAUUUUUUUAUUAUAAAAAAUAAUAAUACUGAAGUACUCACUUGUGUACCAUAACAAAAUGCGAAACAAGAAAACUAGCAUAAGCAUGGUAGAGCAUGCUUUAUGGGAACGCAUGCCGUCAUGUGGUGUGUUUAUAAACUCAUCAAUUACUAUAUACGAAUUUGAAACGUCGUGUGACGAUUUAAUUGUAACAUUCAUGUCAUGAUUGAAAUGGUGAUUGAUGUUCUUGUUAUCAUCAAAUGAAACCACAUGCUAUCAUAACGUCCAAAUAAUUUUUUUUUUCCAAUAAAUAUUGUCACAAAUCGCUGUCCGGCUUGCUUUCAAUAUGAGUACCCACUUAACCGACACAACCAUAUCGAUUAAUUAUAGCUUAAUUUGUAUCUGCAUGCAAAUAAAAGCCAUUUAUGGUCACCACACACCCAUAAAGGGUAGGAUAUACUUUGUGUUAAUGAAUUUCGUUAUUUUUCUUUUUAAAAAAUAUUAUAAUUGGAGUAUUCUAUUUUCUUAAUAAUUAUUUAAAAAUACUUUAACAAAAAAUUAAUUAAAUUAGAUAUUUGUAGCAAUUAAUAUGUAAAGAAUACAUGGAUGGUUUUUCUUGAGGAUUUUUGUAAUUAAAAUAGUUGAUUAGUUCAAUAAAUGGCUAAAUGGUUAUGCAAAUGAACAAUUACGAUUAUGAAUUUUAUUUUAAUAGUGAAAAUACAUUAAUUAUAACUGAAUGGACAAAAUGUGCGUUUAAUGAUGAACACAGUUAUUGUCUCAUGAAACAUUCAUGUGAGUGAGAUACUACGGUGACGACACCUAAAUUUAUUAACGCGUUUUUAUAUGAAUAAAUUGAGACACAUACCACUAUGUAAUUGAUUUGUAAUUGUGCUUGUGAUGUCAUUAGAAUUAAGUGUGGUUACCGUAAUAUCCCACUCGCAAGUCAAAGGCCAAACCCCAAAACUCAACGGAUAAAAAAGUAUAUAUAACAACAAAAAGAAAUAUUAAGAAAAUCACCAAAAUUUGAUUAACCCGCCAAUUACGCAGCAUUGUCCUAAGCUAAUUUCAAUCUCUACAAAACUAACCCGAACUUCCUCGCAUGCACACACACGCGCACAAAACGCCUUUCCUUUCCAUAAAAAGUCCAAGCAAGUCAGUGUCUCGAAGAAAACUCACGGAGAGAAACCGAGAGAGAGAGAGAGAGAGAGAGACCCAAUGGAGGAAGGGCUCGGAGGAGAGGAGUACUUGUUCAAGGUGGUGCUAAUAGGCGACUCGGCGGUGGGCAAGUCCAACCUCCUCUCGCGGUUCGCCCGCAACGAGUUCGACCCCAACAACAAGGCCACAAUCGGGGUCGAGUUUCUGACCCAAGAAUUGGAAAUCGACGGCAAAAUGAUCAAAGCCCAGAUCUGGGACACCGCCGGCCAAGAGCGCUUCAGGGCCGUCACCUCUGCUUACUACAGAGGCGCUGUUGGCGCCCUGAUUGUCUACGAUAUCAGUAGGAAGACCACCUUCGAGAGCGUCAAGCGCUGGCUCGAUGAGCUUACCAGUAAGUUUUUGCAUGAUCCUUUUGUUAAAGAUAGGUUUUUUCUGUUUGGUUGGUGAGAAAAUGCGGGAAAAUGAAGAAUUUUUGUGGGUUUUGGAUGAUAUCAAGUUUUGGUUAGCAGAGGGUGAUUGUUUUAGCUGUAUUUUUCUUUACCAGUAAGUUUUUGCCUACCCAGAUUGAUUUUUCCGUUUGGUUUGUGAGAAAAUGUAGGAACAAUGAAGAGAUUAUUUGGUUAAUGAAAUUAGGGGUGAUUCGGUAUGAGAUUCCAAAUCGAAAAUGGAAUCUCAAAUCGCAAACCGAAAAUUUUCGGAACGGGAAUUUGAAGACUAAUCCUAAACCAAAAUUUUGGUAUUCCUAAUUUUUGGAAUUCUCGAAUUAUUUUCGGUAUUUUAGGAUGAUUUGGUAUUCAUAAAUUUAUACAAAUUGAAAUAGCAAUCAUUCGUACAAGUUAAAUUAACAUGUAACCCAAAUAAAAUAAGUAAUAAAAUCUAAAAGCAAAAAAAUAAGUUACAAACCUAAUAUGUUAAAAAACUAACAACACAAUUUUUUUAUUCGUAUCGGCAAAUGCGGGGAUAAAUGGUUAUGGUUACUACUUGUAGACCAUACAAAUUAUAUUGCUACUAGUAGUUAGCAACCGUUCGAAUGUAUAAGAUAUAUAUAUAAAAUGGAAUCUUUAAGGGAAUGGAUAUUCAUUUUUUUAUAAAAAUAAGAAUUAGUUGUAGGGUUCACACUACAUCGACUAUUAACGAUCUGAACCGUUUAUUUUUCAAUUGUACCUCAUAGAUCAUCUUUGCAAAAUAUUAGCUAAAUUGGAAAUGUUUAAGACAUCUAAUUGGGUUCAAAGAAAUUAAAAAAUACUUUGUUAUAUAAGAAAUAAUGAAAUUUUAUCUUGAUAAUUAAAUAGGUUUUGCUUAUAGUUUUCCUUUCGUUUCCAAUGGUAUAUAGUUUUGCUUAUGUUUCUAAAUUCCUCAAAUUGUGCAAUGUGCUUGACAUGAUUUAGUGAAAGCGUAAGAAAUUGAUUGUGAAUGCUCAUUAUAUUCUGUUCCGCAGCCGAAGUUUCUUCCAGAAAUAUCCCGUCUAACAAAUACGAACCUUGGUAUUUUUGUGUGUUUUCAAAUAGAUGCAACUUAGAGUAAUUCAGUGGCUAAUACUUUGGAUUCAUUAAGAUGCUUAUAGAACUUGUUGGUAUUACCCCUUAAUUAGUUUGCAGGUUUUGUUUUAACUUUCUGAUCAUUUUGACAUUCAUAUUCGUAUUUCUAAUUUAUCGAGGGUCAGACAGUUAACGCUUAAUUGAAUGAUUACGCAGCUCAUUGUGAAACAACGGUAGCACGGAUGCUGGUAGGAAACAAGUGUGAUUUGGAGGACAUUAGGGCUGUGAGCUUGGAAGAAGGCAAAAACCUUGCUGAGGAAGAAGGGCUAUUCUUCAUGGAGACUUCUGCACUGAAUUCCACCAACGUUCAAACGGCUUUUGAGAUAGUAAUCCGGGAGAUUUACAACAACGUCAGCCGCAAAGUCCUAAAUUCUGAUUCCUACAAGGCCGAGUUGUCUGUGAACCGAGUAAGCCUGAUGAAAAACGGGGCAGACUCGAAAAGCCGGAUGAAUCUCUCUUGUUGCGGUGGAUGAUCCCUAUUCCUUGGGUUUUACGUUUCCAUUCAGAGUGUUCCUUCACCCCCAGCAGUCAUUCAUAAAUCUUUAAUUGCACAUCCACAAUCUGAUUUUGAACAGUUUUGAAUUCUUUGGAGGUUUUAUUUUCAACUUUGGUUGGGUUUUAUUAUUAAUUAUUUGGAAAUUAAACUUUUUUAGUCCCAAACAAGAGUCCAGAAUAGAAAAAUCAUUAUCGGGGGAGUGAGAAUUCGAACUCGAGAUAUCUGGUGCAUAGGUAAAUGUUCUUAAGCAGCUAAAUUACAAACCCUUUCAAUUUUUUUUGGACCAACAAAGCCUUACAAUUAAUCAAUGAUUUUUUGGUAUAAGAAACAAAGGUGCACAAGGAUACAUUAACCAUACAUCUAUCAAAAUAAAUUUAUAUGUACAGUAAAUUAAAAAUUAUUCGGGAGAACAUUUACCAUUACAAGAAGACCUAUUUUGUUAACUCAAUUCACUUUUAAGAGCAACAAAAAUGAAAAAAUGGCCUGUAACUACAACUACGAACAUGAAACAACUGCUGAUUGCGCCGCAUAAAUUACGGAGAUGUGAGUUCUCUAAGGCUUCCUCAAGGCGGAUGCUGCACCCAUGACAACAGCCAAGACAAUGCCAAGACCGGCUCCGAGGGAAGCACCCACAGCUGCAGAAGUAAGAGAAUUUGACUUGGCUUGAGAAUCACGUCCCAUGGCGAUUGCACGCUCUCUUGCCACUUCCACCAACAGCCUAUCUCUUGCAAGUUCCUUCAAAUCGAAAAACAUUUAGAAGACGUGAAUAAUUUUGGUAGAUAAAAUGGUAUUUAUACCACUACCACCCCCGUCGACAAGCAUAUAUGACAGUGAAACAGUAAGCAACAAAUCUUGAGAGCAGAAAAACCCUAUUGCAACAUAAGAUCUAUGAAACAUUUGUUCACCUGCAACGCAGCUUCCUCAUGGCUCCGCAGUACAUGAUGGACUACUUGACGAAGAGAGUUGACACCCUCAACUGGGAGAAUAAUUUCUUUCUUCUGGAAAGGCCGCUUAACAAAAUUGAUGGGAGCAAAAAAUAAGCUUUGAGCACCCAUCCUUCCAUCAGCAUCUCCGGUGGUUGCACCCCAUGACAAAUUAGUGCUUGCUGCACUUGGCGUGACAUAUGGACAGGAAUUGAUAACGCCCGUGGUCCUUGGAGAUGCUUGGUAUGACUGGACAACAGCAUCAAUUGCUGCCUUCUGCUGAUGAGCACUUACAGAAAAUUUGUUUGUUACGGCAAGGACCCAAGGAAUUCCCAAAGAUUUCGCCUCGUCCAGCAGAAGUGUAAGGGCUGGCUUUUGUUGCGAUCCAUUUGAGUGAUUGAAGUGUGGUAUUCUAUGAGACAAGUUAUGAACAAGAACAAUCAAGUCGGUCUUCCGAUUAAGAUCACGAAUUCCUGUCCAUAGUUCAUCUCUGAAACGAGUAGCCUCCAAAUUCAGCUCCUGCAACACAAAUUCGAGAAAUAUUACAAUAAAUCGUGAGAAAGUAUAAAAGAAUCCAUGCCAACAGGGACAUUCUUUACCAUGGAAGGAGGAAAUACCUGCAAAUUUACCCCUGCUGAAUCACAGAAGCAUACACCAAGAGAAAUACCUUCUUGGGCGUCAGUUUCUGGAAGCAGAUUCUCAAUAUUUGUAAUAUGGGUAAUUCUGCCUUGGGAUAGUAUUGCCUUAAAAAGGGAAGUCUUUCCGGCUCCCUACAUGGGCAAUAAAUCAUGUGAGUAACUACAUGAAAUAAAAUAUAUAAGACAAGUUUUUAUUACCAAGAAUUCAAGCAUCAAUACCUCAAGACCGAGUAACCGCACCCUACGAGUUCUCACAUGCACCUCUUUAGAAACUGUGGUGAAGUCACUGGUACAAAAUAUGAAAAAUUCACUUAACCCUUCAGGACGCAUGGACUUUUCCUCAUGAAAUGGUCCUGAAGUGUGCUCCCUAUUAAGAUUAGCUGUGCUGGAAUCAAUAGCAGAAUACACAUGCAUCAUUGAAUCUGCUUCCAUCUGAUGCUUUGGUGGCUGUUUCAAUGGGGCUCCAAUUAAGACUCGCAUUUUUUGUAGUUCCAGAUUUUCUCCAUAAUUUGAAGAAUAAGCUGGGGUUGAAGGAAACGAUUCUACUGUUGUUGAACACCUAAUUGAAGAUACAAUGUUAAAAUAAUUGACUGCAUAUAGAGUAGAAUCAUUGGUGAAGGUUGUAAUACAGUUGCACAGAACAGUACCAGUUACCAUUCACUUGGGCAUGCACAAGUGUACAAAGAUGCAGUCCAUAACCAGUGAUAUCAACUUUUACGGGAUCUCCGUUCUUCUCACCAGGUAUGCCAUUCCACCCAAGAGGAGCAACUGAAGUAGCUGUCCGAAUAACUGGAGACUCAACAAUAUGCCCAAGCUCCACAGUUCCUGCAACUGCAAGACCAAGCCACUGCUGUAGAUGUGGAAACUGCUGUAGUUGUUCUAUGGCUGAAAAAGGUGACGUAUCAUCUUUCAUGCACAGGUCAUAGAUUCUGCAGAGGCAACAAGGUCCCGUCAAGUAAGAAAUGGAAGAAAAGUUACAACAAGGUCCAAAUGAAGACAUGAGAUUGCAUUUUCCAACUACAUACCGAAUUCCAGGUACAAGGUGCAAGAAAUUCAAAUUAGAUGCCCUAACUAGAUUACACUGCACCUUGUCUCAUUCCUGGAUAUAGAUUUAGAUCAUCUGUUGUAUUCAUAUGUUAAAUGCUUGGUCACUGACAUAGGUCCAAAUGUGAUUUGAUAUUUGUAAAGAUUAUUUGUAAGGAAAACAGGAUGAAAAGAAAGCAACAAAUAAGAUAAACCAAAAGGCAAACAUAGUCCUUCAAACCAGUGUCACACCAAUUUGGGAAGAAAGGAUAUUGCAGCAGGUCAACAAAUAAUCGGAUAAAUAAGAGAUAUAUUUUUGUAAGGUAGAAUCAUUAUUACCUCUGGAAGCGAAACCUAUAUGACUUCAUUGAAUGUGAUUGAAAUCGUUCCCUCAGCUCCGCAAUCACAGACCUGACCUGAAAAUGCCUUUGCCAGAAGAAAGCAAAUAAAAUGAGAUAUUCCAGACACUAUGACAACUAAUAACUACGUGUAAACAAGAAAAAAAUGUCAACAAAAACCCUUAAACAGCAGAACUAAUAUAAUCCAAAAGAAAAAAGAAAAAGAAAUAACUGAUGGUCAAGCAAAGGAAGUGCCUACCGAUGUCAACUUUGAGUACUCUGCAUCUGAUAGUGACUUCACUGACGAAUUGUCCAAGAGAUAAAGCUGGCACAACAUAAAAGAAUUUCAGACGAGUUCAGUUGACAACUGUAAACCAAGUUAACAAUUAGCAUUUUAGGCAUACAAAAGCACCAAGAUAAAAUCAUAAUGUCAUCAGCAAAGAGAGCAAAUAAUGCCUUCAUGCCGGAAAAAAAAAAUUAAAUAAAGCAUAACAAAAAUCACUUUGAAGUACAAAGCAAGAUGGCAUCAACUAUGUUUCCUAACAGGUAAACCGAGACGGUAUUUGCUAAAAAUGUUUUCUCCAAGCAUAUAGGUUGGGUAACGGCAUAGAAGACAAAUCUUGUUGACUAAAUCAAGAAUGCGUAGCUACUGAGGACUGGCAAUUAAGUACUUUAGCUUACAGCUCAUUGCAGACAAACGGAAAAUACACAAAAUACCAUAAGCAACUUAACAAUUGCAACGCCAAUCUAAGAUUAUAGAGAUCUCAGGGAGUAGAAGACACAACAAGAAAAAUACUGAUAGCAACCAUCACACAUUCAAUAGUUUGGACUACUUUGCAAGCCCACAUACAUGCACCUACGCUUGAAGAAGAUUAUACAAGGGCUUCCAGUUUGUAAUAUAAUACCUCCCCAAAUGGUACAUAUGAAGGUAAAUAAGGGACUCUGCGCCAUGUGCGGCUAUCCCCAUUUUUUGUGGAGCUUUUUUUAGCUAACUUCCCACUUGGUGCUACACCCGGUGGCUCUUUACCAGUUUCUGAGAUAGGCUUAAGAGAUAUACCAUCAGAACCUUCUUGUAUUUCAAGAGACUGUGGUUCUACCAUGUCAUCAUCUACUACAGUUGUUGCAACAGAAUCUGAUUGAGAAGAUGUCUCCACAGAAUCAACUUUCUUUCCUCUGUAUUUGUUAAAUUGUCUUCUUAUGCCUUCUAAGGGAACAAGCUUCGAAAGUCUCCACAUAGAAGUCUGCACAGGUCCCAAACCCAGAACCAACUGCUCGCCACCAUUCUCUUUGCGUUGUCCUACUACUUCCUCGCUUUUUAACAUGGAUAUCCUGGUAGUUCCGGUUUCAGCAGGCACUGAAGGAGAUUGUGCGUUAUAAUGAUGAAAAUAAGCAGGAGACAGGAUGCGAGGCACCAGAUCUUCAGGAAUGCAGUAACUCUUGAAGUAAUGCUGCCAUCCCUCUCUACUAACAUAACUACAAGAAAAUAGAUGAUAAAAAACGGAGAUUUAGUUAUGCUGGAAUAAGAAAAUAGAGACACGAAUAAUCUUUGCUAACUACGAAAUACCAGAAAAAGACAGUUGAAAAAGGGCAAGAAACCUACUCUCUUAAAGCUGCAUUCCCAACAGGGGGCUGGGAAAAUGUGAUGCAUUUGACUUUAACAUUUCCAUUCUCCUUUAAUGAAGAAGAAGAAGAAGCGACCACCCUCAAAAUAGCAAGGGUAGCUAAUACUGCUACCUACAUCGUCCAAAGAGCAAAGAUAGUAUGAGUUCGAACCAAUAACAAGCAAAGAGAUCACUAACAAGUAAACUGUCAAGCAAAACAGCUAACGGACUUACUGCUCCACCAAGUGAGUGACCACAUAACACAAGGUUCCGUUUUUUCUUUUGAGCAAGCCUGUACAACUCCAACGCAGGUAUCCCUUUGGCACGAGCCAAGAACCCCUAAAGAUAACAUUUUGAAAAGAUAGCAUGUUAGAAAAAUCAGCGCAUUACACAAGAGCGCGUGAUUUCGUGGGUGGGACUGCAAUCAUACCCGAUGUGCGGCAGGUUUAGCUUUAUUUGCUUUUGAUUCAAGAGGAUUCCACAAAUUUUCUCCAUUUCCCUUUCCUUUUUCAGGUGGAUUACAUUUAGUAGUUUCAGUCCCAUUAGUAUCCUCCACUACAUCCUCAUGAAAUAUAGCACCUUGAAAUAUGUUUGCAUCCGCCAUCACAUCCCUUCGCAGAAUAACAAACAAACAAAUAAACAAUAAUUAUCGACGUAACAAACAGAAAUUCUGGAUGAAUUAAUCGAAUUCAAAUGGUUCUUACUUGUACUGCUUGGUUCCAAUGAAAGAAGCAAACAAUGUAUCACCGGAUUCCGCCAACAAAUAACUACAUACACCCAAACGCAAAACAGCUAAAACAAUCGACCCCAAGAAGCAAACUUUCAAAUCAAACAAUCCAAGCAACGAACAAAAUCAAACACCUGUGAGGAACGUGAUCCGAAGAAGGUUGAACACGCUCGAGAGAAACAAUUUGUCCUCCGAAGUCGGACUUAAACUUAUUCACAGCCCAAACCAAGUCCGAAGCAGGUCUCUAUCCGAAGCAUUGCAUCAAAACAUUAAGAUUGCAUACAAGGUGUUUGAAUCUUUGAUCAAAUGCGAGAGAGAGAUAGAGAGAGAGAGAGAGAGAGAGAGAGUGAGAGAGAGAUUGAAAGCUUUUCACUUUUUUCACUGACCUUGUAAACGCACUCGGAGAGAACCAUGCAGCAGAGGAUGUCCUGGAGGUCGGAGACGGAGUCGGCCUUGACGGCGGCGCAGAGAUCGUGGAGCUGCUUGCGGCGGCGCUCGUACUCCUGGUGGAUCCUGCGGCGGUGCUCGCGGCCGCCCUCCUUGCCGAGCCAGGGCCACUUCAUCCUCCACUGCAGAGGACCCCAGGAGACCUUGAGGAGCUUGGCUCGCUGCUCCUUGAUCCAUGCCUCCACUCUGCUUUGUAUCGACUCCAUUGGCGAUUUGCUAAUUUGUUGGUUCGGGAUAAACGCCGGCGAAGAUCACGAAGCGCGGCGACAGGGAUUGUUCCUGUUCGCCUGCCUUGAGUUUUAUUUUCAAAUUUUAUAAUUUAAUUUUAAUUACCAAAAUUAGAGAUUGAGAUAAAAGAGAGGGAAUCGUGUGCGGGUUGUAAAGGCAUAUGCCAGGGAAUCGGAUGCAUCGAAUUAGUAACGUAGCAUCGUUGCUCUGCUCGUUAUAAAUAUCUUCUCAUUCUUAUGAAAGUGAAUCCAACUAAAAACAUUUUCCAACUAAAUGAAAGAUUGAAUAUUGUCGUACCAAUUAAUCACCAACAAGCUUUUACUUACUCAAUUUUGAGUCAUCAAACCGCCAAAAUUUUAUUUUAAAUAGUCAAAUCUAGAUAAACACAUCUUUGACAGAUUUUAUAAAAGACUAUUAUAGUAAAAUGAAUAGUCACUCUUUAAUUUACAGAUCAACUGUUCAUCUGUUGACUAUUAAAAAAAAUGUAACAGUAGAUCAUUGAACAAGGAGAAAAGAAAGAGAAUGUUGUUUUAGAAAAUGAGUGGGUUGAGUUUGGAUUGUUAAUAAUAGAGUAUUGAAAAAUUGUUAAAACAAAAUGUCCGUUUGGAGAUAAAAAGUGAAACUAAGUAAUUAAAAGGGAACUGUUAUUAGCACUCCAAAAAUCUCAAUCUACACUCCUCACAAAUGUAUAUUUCUUUCUAAGUUUGACGCACUUCACGUAUAACUUUCAUAAUAUUGUUCAUUGUUCAUUGUUUCAUUCUUCCAACAAAAAACACUUCAACUUUAAUAGUUUAAAAUGGGCCUGCAGGUUUAUUCCAUAUCAAACCGGGCACGGAUAAAUAGGCCUAUCUUUUGGUCCUACAAUUCACCGUCUCAUUCUCCUUUCGGGCCUAAAAUUCACCAUCUCAUUUUCCUUUGGAUCUCAUUUUGGACCUCGAAAGUACACAUUCAAAACAUUUAACGAUAGUAUUGAUAUCGCAGAUGCUUUACAACAAUAACAGAAAACAAGCAUGCUUAUGCGCUUUGGUGAAGGUUUGAUCUCCACCGAUCACCUUCUAAUCAUCCUCUUCUCAAACAACUAAUAAUUUAACCCAUUGACGCUAUUGUUUGUAAUAAAAAAUAAAUAAAAUAAAAAAAACUCUAAAAUAUCAAUAAUGAUGCAUUAACAAAUACUUUCAAUGAGAAUGAUACUUUAUUGGUAUUCUUCUCCACUUUUAAGGAAAUCUUAAGUUCGACUCUUGUUGAUAACGAAUUCGAUACCAAAUUCUUAUAGCAUAUCCAUUAUGUGAAUUGGCACAAUUCCUUCAUUGUAAAUAUAUCGUUGUAAACUUAUCAAAGUGUUAUUCAACUUGUGAAGUAUAUUGGACCAGCUAAUACAUAGACAUGAUUUUAGGUGGAUUUAGUCAACCAAGUUUGUAAUAAUAGUAAUUUGCACUUCUUACGCAUUGCUCGAAAUGUCAGGUGCGAGUGUUCUCCAGCCCACUCCAAAUUAGAAUUCUUUUUUAUCAAAUAGCCAAAGCUCUAUCUCACUCUGCUCCCAAACAAGAUGGCUCAGUCUAUCCCAAUUUUAGCGACUGCAUCCGUUUAAAAUAAACCCAAAAGUUUCUCUAAUUGAAAGUAAUUGCAUAUCACAAAUUUGAAUUAUGUCUGUUUGUACCAUAUUUAGAGCCUCCGUAUUUAGACCUCGUAUAAAUACUCGGAGGACUCAAAUAUAAUUAUGUAAUUAAUGAAGGGGUAAAUAUGUAAUAAGUGAGGAGCCAUUCUUCUAUAUAAGGGGGCCAAGUUUUAGGCCAAGAUUGAGGGCAAGGCUUAGGCCACAAAAAAUAGGCUAGAGAGCACACUGCCUUUAGCCUCUUGUAUAUUCACCAUUCAGAGUUAAACGAUAUCAACAUCAGUGUGGACGUAGCCCAAACAUUGGGGUGAACCACGAUACAUCUUGUGUUCUUUACUUUCUUGCAGAUUCACGGUCGGAUUUACAUUGUUCCAAGACCUCCCGGUUUUGUGCAUCAACAAUAUCAGUUGACUAGAACAAUGUAUCUGCUCUCUUACAUCAAGUUCGUAUCCUCGUCCACAUAAAGGCUUUGUAUAUCUUUGUAUGGGUUCUCUCUGCCAGCCGUGAAGUUAAGGGCCAAGGUUGUUUGUACAUAGGAAAGAUGUGUCAAAAUGCAUGCGCUAGGCUGUGGCAUGGGUUGAAAGAUAUGUAUGCACUGUAUACCAUUUAGUGGCACGAGCACACCUACAAGUCCCAUUCUUAGAAAGCCCCACUAAACAAUUUGUGAAGGGACCAUUGUAUCCAAAAGAGAUUUUCACAAACCUCAUCUGAAAGAGAUUUUCACGAUUACUCAGUUUGAAGAGAAUCUACCUUACAAUUAGAGAAUUUAUUAUGGGACAAAAGAUUUUUUAUUUUUUUUAAUCAUUUACGGCCUAUGAUGAAUACAAUUCUAAAUAAUAAACAUAGUAAUAACACUUAUCUUAACAAAAACAUAAAUCGCUUCACUAAUUACACACAACAAUCAUAUACUCGAUGACACAUCAAAUUUUUUCGUCCGCUCAAGUAAUAACAUUUAACUCGCUUCAUAUAUAAAUUCUAUUACACUCUAUUCAAUAGUUGUGUUAAAUGACAAAUUGAGAUGGAGUACAAAUUCAACAACCGAUAAUCACAUAUUUGUACCGAAGCAAGAACCACAAUGUAAAAGGUGCCUACGAAAAACUAUUUUAUUAUUUGGAUUCAUAAACUCUACUAAACUGUAUAUUCAAUAUUAUACUAAAAAUACCCAUCUUUUGCAGGUUAGCAGCUCACUGACAUCUUGAAAGAAGUUGUAUAGUUUUUCUCUUUAUUUUAAUUUUUAAUUUUUCUAUUUAUAAUCAGCAUUGCAUCACUAUGACAUGGCCCAUGCAGAAUUGACCACUUUUCUAUAAUUGCUAGAUUUGAAUAUUAGGUGGUCGGCAGUCCAGAUGACGAAGGUGACUGAUAUUUAAAUCGCCAGAUAGCUUCGAAUUUUCUUCAACUGGAAAUAUAAAUCUCAGUGAAAGCGAAACAUGUCAAUCACAUUAUUAUUAAUUUAUUAUGAGAUUAACUACAUUUUUUCAUUUUUAAUAUAAAUAAUAUUGUUUGUGUUUUUUUUUUAAAGAUAUAUAUAUAUUGUUUGGGUUAAGAAAUCUUCGCCUGAACAUAUAUAACAAAAUGUUAUUGGCGUUUCAAAAAAAGUUGCAUGCAUUUCUUUAUGUGCAUAACAAAAUUCUCGUGUUCUUAUAAAAUGGAAAGGGUCCGAUCCCCUUCACCAAAUCUUCCUUCUCAAACAAUUCGGAUUCUUGGAAUUUGAUCGAACAGUUAAAGUUAUUAUAACUUUUAAAGGGGGCUCAUGUUUGUAGUCGUUGGAUCAAAUUUCAAGGAUAUUAGUUGAUGAGUAGGAUUUGGUGGAAGGGAUCCGGAGAGGAUCCCUUUCCUUAUAAAAUGAAUGUUUGAUCAUUUUUGUUUGGGUGUUAAUAAAUUGUAGCAAUGGUCCCUCAAUUUUAAUCAAAUUGGAGCAAUGGUCCCUCAAAUAAAAAUUCAUUACCAUUGAUUUCUCAUCUCAUCAAAAUGUGUAGAUAUGAUUCUUUUUGUCAACUUCGUCAGAAUUUUGUGAGAAUAAGAAUAAGUUACGUUAGAAUAACCAUUGCUACAAUGAUGUAUAUCACUCGAUAUUAUAAUUUUAAUACAAAAUUUAACCGUUACAAAUAAGAUUUAACUACUAAUUUUUUGAAAGAUUUUUAUCACAAAUGGUCAAUGAGAUUGACCAAACUCAUCAUUUUAGUCCCUCACUUUCAAAAUCAAUCAAUGUCGUCCCUAACAUUCACCACCUCACAUCAAUUUGGUCAUUCCGUUAAGAUUCUGUCAACAAUUCAAUUAGUUUGUAUGUACGACCCACAAAUCCAAUCAAAUGGUGACACGUGGAUUACACAAAAUAAGGGUUUUUAUCGCUAAUGGUCCCUGACAUUGAUCAAACUCCUUAUUUUAGUCUCUAAGUUUCAAAAAUCGAUAAAUUUUGUCCCUGACUUUUACUACCGCGCAUCAAUUUAUUUCCUCCGUUAAUAUGGUCCCACUAAUCCAAUUAUAUAGCUGUUUGGGCCCAAAAUAACAGUUUGGGCCGAGAGAGGAAUCACUUUCGGCCCGGGAAGACGUACGGCGAGAGGGUCAUGGGGCGUUCAGCUCAUGGGCUUCUAAGCCUAGGUCGGUUAAAUCAGAGUGCAAGUCGAGUCCUAAUACAAUAGGGACCCUCGACGAGAUCAGUAAAACUAGAAGGCGAAUCCGGCUCAGUUAAGGACUAGAUUCGUAGUCCUAGCAGAGAUAGGACUGAUCGAGGUAAUGUUAAUCCGGAGAGGGAAACCUAGUUCGAAUAGGAUUGGAACUCGGGCUCGGUGUUCUGCUACUAUAAAUACAAGACAUUCAGCAAUGGAAAAGACACACAAAAAUCAAUACAAAAUUGCCCUGCGCAAACUCUCACAACUUGAGAUCUUUUUCUUUUCCUUUUUCGCUGACACAUCUUCCGUUGGCAUCAACAGCACUGUGGAAGCAACCGGUGGUAUCUUAAGUCGGCAUAGAUAGCUCUGUCACUCUGUCACCGUAGAGUCGGUCGGUCUCGCAAUAUCUUCCGUUGGCAUCAACAGCACUGCGGCGAGAACGGUCGGUUACCUAUCCAAGUCUCGGUCGAGAAGGGUUUUCGAAUCCUUGGUGGUCGAGGUCAUCUCAUUAGCCUUCUCGGCGAGGUGAGGUGUCACAGUUAUUACAUUCGGCACAUUGCAAGCCGAAUUCGGUUCGUGAACUUUGUAAGAAAUAGCAGCCUUGUCUUCAGGCUCGAGAACCCAAGAGGCCGAGACGUGUUCCUUUCUCGGCCGCAAUCGCAAGACGCAGAAGUCAGUAGCGCGACUUAACACAGCAUCAUCAAAUUUACUCCUCGGCCGAGCCUCGGCCGACGAGUUGGCACGCCCCGCAAUCACCGAAGGACGUAGUUAGCUUAGAAUAUACUCGGCCUGCGCGCCACGUAGGCUUUGUAGUUUCUAGGGUCAACAAUAGCUCAACGUGGAUUAAGUAUAAGAAACUAUUUUUUCAAGAGUAUUCCAUGCUGACAUUUUUCUCGCAUCCCACAACCCCAAUUGGAAAAAAAAAUCAAUCUAAAUUCGAUAAAAUCAAAUCCAAAUUCAAUUCAAAUUUGUUAGGAUUUAGGAUUAUAACCAACUAGAGAGAUGAAGAGUAAGUUCAGGAGGCCAAGUACUUUAGUAAUGUCAUGGUGCCUUCCUUUUCCUUUUGAGCAUACCCUGAUGAAGACAACAAUGACUUUUUUUCUUCUUUUAGUUUUGGUUUUUAGUAUCUUAUUUUACUUUUAGUUUUAAAUCUUAAAAAAAAUAAUUUCUUAUAGUUAAUUCAUGUGGUGUCAUAUGAUUUGAUUAGUGGGAGAAAAAAAUUUGACAAAAUUUUAACGGAAUAAUUAAAUUGAUUUGCAGUAUUGAAAGUCAAAGACCAAAUUUAUCGAUUUUUGAAACUAAGGGACCAAAAUGAGGAGUUGGAUUAAUGUCAGAGACAAUUUGCGAUAAAAACUCUUAUUUUGUGUAAUCUACGUGUCACAAUUUCAUUGGAUUUGUGGGUCCCACAUAUAAACUAACAUAAUAGUUGACGAAAUCUUAACAGAAUGAUCAAAUUGAUGUGUGGUAGUAAAUGUCAGGGAUAAAAUUGAUUGAUUUUGAAAGUGAGGGAUCAAAAUGAUGAGUUUGAUCAAUCUUAAAGACUAUUUGUGAUAAAAACUUUUUUUUGGAAUUACUCAAUGUUACGUACUAUUUGAUAAUUGUUUAUCUAAGGCUGAUGGUUUCACAAUAAGACAAGGAUUGUCUGGCCUCCACUUUCGGUGCCCUCAUGUUGGUGUGAUCACGGUUAAGCCCGUCAACAUUUUAUAUUAUUUUUUUAUAGAUAUAAUAAUAUAAAAAAUAAUAUAAAAUAUUAAUAUGACUUAACAAUAACCACACAAAAUAAAAUAGCACGAAAAGAACAUCGAAAUGAAGGGCAGACAAUCCUUAUCCUUCACAAUAUCCUGCUAUUGUACAAUAUCCUUCUCUUGUACACCUGCUCAUUGACUCUGUGUAAAGACUUUGAGACGUGUCAUGUGUGGGUCGCUGGUCAUCACUAAAGAUUGCUUUUGAGAAAAAGCUCAAAAGCAGGAAAAGCACUUUUGCGUUGCAGUUGCUUUAUCUACUACUAGCCAGAGGCCUAGCGUGGUGGAAGUAGUAGCUACGUUUCUUUUUACUUUUCUAUUUUUUUUUAAACGAGAAAAUUAAUGACAAGCUAUGAUUAUUUAUUUUUUUUUAAUUUAAAGAGGUUAAGAAAAAUUUUACUCUGUUUACAACCACUGUCAAAUAAACUUACCAAUUUGAAACAUCAAACUUAAAAUCUCUCACAAUUUUUUUUUGUUUAUUAUGAAGCCGCACCUAGCUUCAUAAAGAUAAAUCCUAUUCUUACCUACCUUUCACCUUGCUUGUGGAUCUUGAAUGUUAACUGCCUUUCUAAAACCACAAUGAUAGUCCUUUUUAUUAUAUAAUAUUGUGAAAAUAUAUUAAACCUUUUAGUUUGUAGUUCUUUGGCGUUUAUAUUCAAGAGACAAUAAAAAUGAAAAUGGGUUUACUACACAUGUAUUUUUUGAGGUUUCUCGAGUUUUUAUAGAGUCUUCUCAUGUUUUAAAAGUAAAACAAGCAUUCUUUUUGACGUUUCAAAAUCAUUUCACAACUCCCCUUCAUGACAAAAAAAUACCUACGUGAAAGAAGUGGUGAAAAUACCAAAAAAAACCUUUAUGGUCGUAAAAAGAGUGUUUGGCUACCAGUUUUAGUUAGUCCUAUGGUCCUUGGUUACAAACUUACAAGUGGGAUGUCCUAUUUCCAAUAGGGAUCGCUAUAUGGUUACUUUUGUCAUAUUAAAAUUAUUUAUAGCUAAGUUUCCAAAAAAAUAAAAAAAUUAUCGCAAAUGUCAACAUAACAUUACUAAAACCCUAGAAGAGGGAGGGGAGGGGGAGGGGGAAAUGAUUUUGAAACAUCAAAGGAUGUUUUUGUUACUUUCACAACCUAAGAGAUUUUUGUGAAAACUCAAAAAUUCCAAAAAAGUGUUGUGUAAUUAAUUAACCAGAUAAAAGUAGGAAUAUACACAACUACUAAAACUUUUCAGAGAAAAAAAAAACUUAAUUUGUAAAGACACAACAAAAGCCCCAAGAAACUUCCAUUAAUAGCUUUAAUAAACCCUUUUUUAAGCUCAUGUUCAAUUCUCUUAAUAAUGCCUUUUUGAUACAAUACACACAUCACAAUUAAAUCUUUUUUCUCUCUUGUUGCCGCCAGCCUCUCUUCCUCUUUAAUCUUAAAUACAGUUCGGUCAAAUAGUCCUACAACACUUUUGAAUUUAUCUCAUCUCCUUCCUAAAAUAAAUUCCACAUAUCUUUCACCUUGCUUAAAAUUAUGAUAGUAUACAAUUGAUUACUUUUAAAACUUUCUCCGACACAGCUUAAAUCUGUUUAAACCUGUAGAAACUCGAAAAAAACCCUUUCACUAAUCACUUUAAUAAAACAUAUUUUUAAUCCACUUUUUAAUUCUCAUAAUAAUGUCUAGUUAGUGAGGAGACAACUGUCCCUGCAAAAGGUGGGCAUCUCAUCUCCUUCCAAGUAGUGAGGGAGAGAUAAAGAACCCAUGCAUCACAUGGGAAUCAAUCAAAUACACAAAGUAAAAACAUGCAUUAGAGAGCAAAUUAGCGUGUAGUGUUAUCUACACAUAUAUUUUUAUCUUUCUUAUACAUUCUGUUCAUUUAUGUCAUUCGAUCCUCUACAAUUUAUUUGAUUCAACGACCAAAAAUUAAAAGAAAUGUGUGAAAAAUAUAAAUAAGUGUUUGAAUAGCACCGUCCACAAAUUAAAGCAAUGAUUAAUAAUUGAGGUGAUGAAUCAGUAGGAACUAGUAGCUGUACUGCAUGGGGUGGGGGGCCUAGAUAAAGUCAAGUAGAUAAUUGAUAAUUUGAUUCCCAAUUGAAAUUAGCUUUCGUUUGCUUUGGUGAAUAUUGAAUAAUGCAUUGAGACUGACUUGGUGACUUUAAUCCUCAAUUGUUAAUUGUUAAAUAAAAAGAUUAAUCUAGCUAAUCAGCUAGUCCCACAUCUAAUAGCUAUCCGACAAGAUUGAGAAAUUUCCUACUAAUAAGUUGGCAAUUUACAUCACGUAAGUGUUCCUUCCGUUGUUUGUUUCCUAUCUCAGAUCUGAUAAAAUACAAUUAUUAUCAAGCACUCUAGAGACUAGAGUGAUUAGUCAUCUAAGCAUGAUCAGCUAUUACAUUAUGGAAGUCUUUAUCAAGGAAGGUAUUAGGCGUCCGAAACUGUGUCUACGUGUCGAGCAACUUAGGUGAUCAAAAUUUUUAAUAUUAGUAACACUACGUGAAAAUGACGGUCAUACAAAAAAAACCUUUUCAGGAUGAUUAGCUGCACUUGUUAAGUUCAUAUUUUCAAACGUUACGGCCUCAGUUAGGAAUCUAGAAGAGAUGUGUAGAAGGUGAAUGCAAUUAGGGGUUGUAGAUGAAUGAGAAAAGUAGGAGUCUGAAGAGCACUAACAUAGAGACAAUCAAUCAACAAACUGGGGAGGUCAACACUCUUUAACACUCUGUAUGUAUAUACUACAUAAGAAACCUAAAUAAAUCAAUACAUUAUACAAGCAAGAAGAGAAGAAAGAGGAUGUGAGGGCUGCUCUGAUAUUUACAAAAUCAGUAUCUGGCAUGGGAGAAUCUGCCGCAGUUUGGUAUGAUUAUACGUCAAGGCGCGCUGCGCGCCGCGUAUCAGCCUUGUCCGUUGUUCAAUCCAUCAUACGGCUUGGUGGCCUUUCUUGACUUUCUCUUCAAGACUACAAUCCAAGUGAUUGCUUCCAAUAACAAUGCAAGUGCACCCAACGUAAUAAUCACAAUUAUGUAAGUAGAUCUCCAAUGCUUAGCAGGAUUUAGUAUGUCUAAGCCCUUAAACACAUUUAUAAUGCCGAGGACAAGAAUCGUGUAUCCGAGAGUGUGGUGGUAGAUGUUCCAGUAGAACCUGAACUUGUGCUCCUUCUUUGGCCUCAAGAACAAUGCGAAUAUCUGUAAGUUCAGAGAAGGAAAUUCCAAUUAGAUGAAAACAGUCCAAAAUUAAGUACCACAAACAUAUUAAUCAGCCUUGAUUCGACAAAAUGCUGCCUUCAGCAGCUGUGAACACAGACUAAUCUAUGCGAAAUUGAGUUAAGAUUGCAUCAGAAAACCGAGAUGUUCUAAAUCCAAAUCUUCAAUGGUAGUUUACAUACAUAACAUGGAUUCAUGGAAGGUAGGGGAAUGCAUAAAAUCGAAAAAUGCCAGUUACCCUUUAUCACUUAGCACUUAAACAGCAUUAUAAAUUUGUAAACUAAGUUGUAUGAACUACAUUAAGUUAGUGUAGGUAAAAUUAGAAUGGAAUUUGCAGACAUAGGCGCAACCACAUUGGCAAGAGUAGAUGUACUCCCCUACAUAUCAGAGUUCCGAUCUCCUUCUCGCAGUUUAUAUUAGUUUAGAGUAACAUAUCGCUUGUAUCAGAAGAAAACAAAGAAUGGAUCUUACCUGCAGAGUUGCUAAGGCAAACAGGACAAUUCCAAUGUUGCGAUGAUUAGUGUAAACCACCCCUUUGGACUCACUUCCGAGCUUAAUUCCGGUAGCCCAGCCGGCGACACCAAUGGCAUAACCAGAUACCUGGCAGAAUAUAUGAAGAUAAAACCAAGCUGGAUCCGCAGACGGAAAAGACCUCAAGUAUCUUGCUACGAUGAUUCCAAUUGGAAACAUCAAUCCCCAACUCACAGCAUUCAAAAUUCCAUGUAUCUGAAUCACACAAAAACACAAAAAAGGAUUUAACUUUAUCAACUUUGAUCAAAACCCAUCUCAAAUCUAGCUCAGAUUUCUACAACUUGCCAAAAUUAAAGCCAAAUCUUCAUUAGAGCACAAUUUCCCUUUACUCAAAGUUUCAAGCUUUAUGCACUCCAAAUAAAGCAACUUUCUUUUCCUUCUAAAAAUUUACAACUUAUUUUUACCGUUUGCGAUUCAAAUGGUUAAGAGAGUUUACUCUACGCGUGAGUGAUUAACAACGUUUAACAAUAUCUACGAGUGGUUAAGAGUGUUUAUCCUGCAAGUAAAAUCCCCACUCUAAAUCAUCUUCUUAUUAAAGUUUGUAUAAAAAUAGUAACAAAAGAAUCCCAAAACAUUAAAAUGGAAAUUUAGAGAGAUUCAACUCACAUUUCUCUUCUUCAUCUUGGACCCCCCGCUAGCGGUGGUGGUGGUGGUGCCGCCGGUCAAGCUCAGUGUCCCUUUCGAGUUAAGAUUCGGCGUCAGGAAGUCGUGUUUAGCCGGAAACCCAUCGGAAACAGAUGGCCCCACCUGCCAAACCUGGUUCACCGUCUCCUUCUCCACCUUCAACUUCGCAAACAGCCUAAAAACGCCGCCGGACGACUCGGCCGCAGUGUCCCACACGUCGAACGACAGCUUCGACUCAAGAAUAUCCUUGUACGAGCUGAUGUUGAAGGUUUUAACGGCCAUUGAGCCGUCGGCCUUCUUGUAGGCGAGGAGGGUCUGGGACCCAGGCAUCCCGGUGGACGUCGGGUUGAUGGCCCAGGCGAUCCAGCCGUCGGAUUUGGAGGGUGGCGAGAUGAAGGCGAUAGAGAGAGUGGAGUUGGCGGGGUCGUAGGUCCAGUGGAGGAAGGAGCUGAGGACGGGGAGGUCGGCGCAUUUCGAGUAGAGCUUGUUGUUGGCGAAGGUUUGGGAGGUGCAGGUGAGGGAAAGCGCGGGUGAGAUAAGCAAAAGGAGGGUGAGCGGUAGAAAUAUUGAGAGAGAAGAGGAGGAGGAAGAAGAAGCCAUGGAUGAGUAAACUGCUAAUGGUGGUUGAUGAAUAAAGGCUUACUACUAAUUUUGGCAGAAUUUAUAGUGACAGUUACGACAGUGAGAAAUCCUCUAUGGGGAAAUUUUUUAUUUUGACGGGACAUGGAUGGUAAAUCACGUAUUUUAUGUAAGUGGUAAGAAAUUUUACUUUUUAAGUGUGACCAAUAUACGAGGUAGUAUACCACAUGUCAUUAUACAAAUGGUGAAAUGUGUGUGUUAAAAUGUUAAUAACUUAAAAAGUAAAAUUUUCUACCACUUACAUAAAAACACGUAAUUACUAUCCAUGUUCCUGUCAUAAUAAAAAAUUUCUCCUCUGUGAUGCUUUCAAAAAAAUGAAAACAACCACCUGAAAGUCGACACGUGGGCAAAACUGAAUAAAUAGUUAUUUAGAAAAUUGGCCAAAAUAAUGGUAUUUCAAAUUUCGAUACCCUAGCUGAAAUGAUCAAAUUUUCAAUAUGUUGUAUAUAUAUGAUUGUUGUAUCAUCACCCUUUGUUCUUUAUGCUGUCCAAUAUGUUGUAUAUAUAUGAUUGUUGUAUCAUCACCCUUUGUUCUUUAUGCUGUCGAUAUUUAAAUUUGGUCAGUCCAACAAUUUAUAAUUUGAUUUUGAUUCAUUUUAGCUAAUUUUAUUUAUUAUUUAUUUGGAUUUUCACCUUUUUUUCUUCGAUUUAGUUCAUAUAUUUUCAUUUAGUAUUGCCAGUCUAAUAUGGCAAAAUUUCGGCCACGUUGGCUUUUCGAAUGAGAGCGUAAUGAAUAGGAAAAUCAACUUAGCUGAAUGGAGUAGCUCAAGUAAAAACAUGACGAAAUUAUAAGGACGAAAUUGAAAUUCAGAUAAAUUUAUCGGGAAUAUUGUUGAAAUUUAACAAAGAAUAAAUAGGAAGCAUGUGUGCGAUGCUUGAAAGUUGAAACAGAACUAAUGUCCUUAAAAAAAUAGUGAGGGGAAUGAGAGAGCCAAAUAACAAUUAACGUAAACUUGUACGAACCUAAUUAAUUAAAUAAAGAUCCAAGAAUCCUGCUUUUCUUCUUCUCUUUUCUGUCUUUUUUGUUUUAAAUUGCUGAAAUCAAUGGAUUCUGUUUUAGACGUCGCUUAAAUUCAGUAAGAGAAAUGCUAAUGAUACUCUCUCAAAAGUGAGAUUCUUUAUGAACUCUUCGUCAUCUUAUAUUUUUUACACAAAAAAUUGUGUCAAAAAUGUGAGAUGGUAAAAAGUCCAUAAAAUCCUACUUUAAAAGUGUCUAUUUAGCCUUUCUCAUUCAGCAAACUUGUCAACUCUUCAAUGUGCAUUAAUUUUGUGGUGAGUGUAAGAGGAAAAUAAUUUAUUUGUAAUGGAUAAUAGAGUAAAAUUAGGGGAAUAAAUAAACCCAAAAAUGAAGAGAACCAACUUUAUGGAGUAAAGGAGAAUGGACUGUAGCGUCAAGCAACUGCAUUUUUGAACAUUUUGUUUUAUUAUUAGAAAAGAAUCUGGUCUAUUUAAUUGGGAAUUUUGGGAUUAUAUGCCAACUACUUUAGCGAUUUUUAGCCUACCAGAUGUGACUGUGAGCUGAUGCAAGGUUUAGGUCAUGGUGAUAUCAAUAUUCCUCUAUAUUUCACAUAUUUUUAGGAAAAUCCAAGUUGUAUAUAAGAAAAUAAGAUUGUGAUAUUUCUUUUUAUUUUUCCCAUACAAAUUGUUCUAGGAGUUGUGGUGAAUAACAAAUUAAAAUUAUUUGGCUAGUAGAUCGGGGGCAUCAGGAACGUAGAUGUUUUUCUUUCGAAGGUAAGAAAAUUCGCUCCGAAGUAGACUUCUCAGAGACAUUUUGGGCUGUAGCUCGCAGGGGGCACAUAUUUUCAGAGUUGCACAAUUUCUGGCAAAGCUUUCCCCCUAAUGGUCAAUCAUUGCCUUUGGCGCCACUGUAUGGAAGAGAUGCACAAACUUGAAUAACUGUAAAAGAAUAAACGAUCGUAUGACCACCUUGUAUUGUAUCGUUGGGGUACCGGCCAAAGACUCACUAACCGUCAAGUUAGUAAGCAAUUUAUGAGACUCAAACAGUAUGCAAGAAAAUAGAGUAUGCGAUAAUUGCGUUAACCCUAGCAAGGUGUAUUAAUAUUUAAUACUAGUCGAGAGAGAGUCCUUUCAGGAUAUAAAAUCCGCAUUAAACCAAGAGAAUGCUAAAGGAUAUCUAGAAGUAAAUAUUGCAUCAUCUUAAAAGUGAGAAAUUUUUAGUUAUGACGGGAACACAAGUGGUACAUCACGUGUUUUAAUAGGAGUGGUGAAAAAUUUUAUUUUUUAAGUUAUUAACUUUUUAGCACACAUAUCCCAUCAUUUGUAUAGUGACACAUGGUGUUGUACCGGUCACAUUGAAAAAUCUCUCCUUAAAAGUAUGAUUACUUACAGCGCACAUCAAUCAUUUGACAAUAAAAAAUUAAGCAAUUGAAUGGUUUCAAUUUACUAGACAACAAAUUGUCCAAGUCCAACGAUCUACAAAAACGAUAACUCUAUAGCUACAAAAACAAAACCAGUAGAAAAAAGAAAUGAAGAAAGACAACGAACCUUGAUGCCUGCAAGGUUGUUCCUGUGAUUCGAUGAUCUAGGCUUCAUAAUAAUCUAAGGGUGUGUUUGUUUGGCCUUACUAACUUUCACUAGACUAGAUUGGAUUAGCUAAUAGUGAAAUUCCGUGUUUGUUGCGUGCACAGACUAAAGUUAAUGAAACUAAAGGGGAUUUGCUCCAACUAUCUCCCUCGCUACAAGGUCUUAGCGAGAGCCCCCCAAGCGCAUGGGACUGCUAAGCCCUUCAUUUGGUAUGUCCUUGUCUCCUCUCAUCCACUAUUUGUUCUUUGUUUUCUUGAGCACCGACAACCACCAUGACACCACCACUUCCAACUUUAGUGAGAUACACCGCUAGCCUAACACCACUUUCUCUCUCUCACCUCGAACCCAGAAUUUCGAACGAGGAAAAUCCCGCUCUAGCAGUCCUCCGAUUCACCUUCGAGGAAUAUCUCACUCUAGCACUCCUUGAUUCAAUUCCUCCGAGUUUCUAGAGGUUAAUCCCUUGAUUUCCUGUAAAAAAAAAAAAAAAAUUGGGGGGGGGGUGGUUAAUUUUGUUUGGUUAGUAGGAAAGCUGAGAAAUUGGUUUCUAUCGAGAUCCAAGGAAAGCAAGCAUCCUUGGCAAUUUUUGGUAGAAUUGUAGAUGAAGAAGAAACAAAACGAAAAGGCUUGAAUUUGUUGCAAGCAUUGAUGGACAAAAAGGGAAAAUUGGUGGUCUGGGAUUUAUUUAGGGAAAUAUGGAGAUCAUGCAGUUUAUGGAACUCUCUAGAUAGAGCCCGUGAAAAUAUCUGAAUCAAAAGUAAUAAAAUAAUUAAAAAGUAGUAAAAAAAUAUUUAGAUUCUAAAAAUAAUUUAGUCUGUGACUUGGUUCGACAUUGCACCAAACGUUUCACUAUUCUUGUCCUGCUUAGUCCAUGCCAAGCCAGUCCAGCUUAAUUCCUUAAGCUAGUCCAGUUCGAGAUAGUCCAUUGCAACAAAUGCACCCUAAAAGAUAAUUUUUAAUUCUUUGUAGGGCUUUUAAACCUCGUGCGGAAUGCAAAGAAAUUAUAUAUUGGAUGUUGGAAUCCCGAAAAUUAAAUAAAAACUAAAAACUACUGAUUAAAGCAUAUUAGGGAAAGGAAAGAAGAGAGCCACUUAAGGACUAGGAUGGGCAUGGCCCGUCCUGAUUUUUUUUUUUAAAAUUGAUUCAUAUAUAACCAGAUGGAGAGUACCAAUUGGUAACUUGAUCUUCCAAUGAUUAUCACUGACCCUCUAACAAUUGCAUGUCAUGAUUGAUCAAUUUUUAGUUGUGACGGGCAGGGGCGAAGCUAGGAUUUCUCGGGGGGAGGGGCAAACCUAAAAGAGUGAAAGGUUAAAGAAAAAUGGAAACAACUAAAUCUUUUUAUAUGGUAAUAUCUUCCAUAAUUAAUCAAAAUGUUUGAAGAAGGAUUUAAGCAUUGUUUCUUAUAGUAUCGUUCCAUUACGUAACUGUAAAAUGGAAAGAAAAAAAAUCUUAGAAUCUUAAUCCUAGAGUACACUAUACUAAUAUGCAUAAUAACUAGUCCAACUAACUAUUCAACCAAUCCAACCAAUUGCAUAAACUCCAAAUAAUUAACCCUAAUAUGCAUAAUAACUAAUCCAACCAACAAUUCAAUUAAUCAAUACCAAUAACUCAAUAAGCAUACAAAUUAUUCAAUAAAUAAAAAUUCAAUUCAACUAAACAUAUGAAUAAGAAUAAUUGUAUACAUUAUGGAAUAAUUCAAUUAAUUAAUUAAGAAUCAAGAAUUCAAAUUUUAAUUUUCACCCUAAAAAAUAAUUUCAUAUCAAUAAUCAUAGAAUCAUAUCAAUAAUCAAUAAUCAAUAACCAAUAACCAUAUUAUUAGUGCAUUACCAUAUGAUUUUAUACGAAUUAAAACUCAUUUGUAUUAAAUAAUUAAUUAGGGUUAGGGAUUAUAAAUUUAGGAAUUAAAAAAUUUACCUAAAGAAUGGCUUUAAUGCUGCAAGCCGCGGCUGGAGAUUGACUGGAGUGGCUGGCUGCGGCUGGUUUUCCGUCCAUUGGCUGCCAAAUUGUUGCGCAACUGCUGGGAAUUUGGGGGCAAGCUUUGUUCUCUGAUUGACAAGGGCAAAGUUGAAAAAGAAAAGGGGGAUAAGCACGGGUCUGAGGAGAGAAGAGGGACACGCGGUCCCUCCAUAUUUUUUUUCUUUUUCAAACUUAUCAAAACGACGCCGUUUGGUUUUUUUUUAUUUUUUAACCAGGUCUAAAACAACGUCGUUUUGGCCUAAACCAGCCCUUCAGGAUGGGCUAAACCAGUUGAGUUUCCGACAAGAUGAUGGGCUAAACCAGCCCUUCAGGCUUAUUUUUCCGGCGAUGGCAGUGGCGGCAACCACUCAUCGCCCCCACGUGGCUUCACCACUGGUGACAGGAACACAAGUGGUACACCACGUGUUUCAAUAAAAGUGAUGGGAGAUUUUAUUUUUUAAGUUAUUAACUUUUUAGCACACAUAUCCCAUCAUUUGUGUCACAUCCCGACCCGGACUCGACUCCGCUGUAGCACGAUAUUGUCUACUUUGGGCCUCGACCACGCCCUCACGGUUUUGUUUCUAGGAACUCACGCGAGUAGAAUUUCCCAGUGGGUCACCCAUACUAGGAUGUUCUGGCCCAUUCUCGCUUAAUUUCAGAGUUCCUAUGGAACCCUAAGCCAGUGAGCUCCCAAAAAGCCUCAUGUUAUAUGAAGCUAAACAUGUACAUAUAAGACAUAGAGGAUCCACUCCCUGGGCGAUGUGGGAUCUCACAAUCCACCCCCUUAGGGGCCCGACGUCCUCAUUAGCACACUUCCGGCCAAGGAUUGGCUCUGAUACCAAAUCGUCACAUCCUGUCCUGGGCUUCACUACAUCCUGGGAUCGACUUCUCUGUAGCACAAUAUUGUCCGCUUUGGGCUUUGACCACGCCCUCACAGUUUUGUUUUUGGGAACUCACAUUAGCAGAAUUUCCUAGUGGGUCACCCAUCUUGGGAUGCUCAAGCCCAUUCUCGCUUAACUUCGGAGUUCCUACGAAACCCAAAGCCAGUGAACUCCCAAAAGACCUUGUUCUAUAUGGAGGUGGACAUGUACAUAUAAGGCAUAGAGGAUCCACUCCCCUGGGCAAUAUGGGAUCUUAUAUCGAUCAACGGAGAGGGGGUGAUGUGCCUUAUAUGUACAUGCCCACCUCCAUAUAGCACGAGACCUUUUAGGAACUCACUGGCUUCAGAUUCUAUUGGAACUCCGAAGUUAAGCGAGUUUAGGUGAUAGCAUUCCCAGGAUAGAAGACCCACUGGGAAGUUCUCAUGUGAGUUCUCAGAAACAAAAUCGUGACGACAUGGUUGGGGCCCAAAGCGGACAAAUCGUGCUACAGCGGAGCCGGUCUGGGAUGUGACAGAAUGGUAUCAGAGCCACUUUGCCGUGUGGUGCGAGUGUGCUGACGAGGACGUCGAGCCCCUAAAGGGGGUGGAUUGUAACAUCCCACAUCGACCAACAGAAAGGGGGUGAUGUGCCUUAUAUGUACAUGCCCACCUCCAUAUAGCACAAGGCCUUUUGGGAACUCACUGGCUUCGGAUUCUAUUGGAACUCUGAAGUUAAGCGAGUUCGGGUGAGAGCACUCCCAGGAUGGGUGAUCCACUGGGAAGUUCUCGUGUGAGUUCCCAGAACAAAAUCGUGAAGGCGUGGUCGAAGCCCAAAGCGGACAAUAUUGUGUUACGACGGAGCCGGUCUGGGAUGUGACAUGACACGUGGUGUACCACCUCGUGUACUGAUCACACUGAAAAAUUUCUCGUCAUGAUGUCCCAAAUAGGAGAAUUUUUUUUUUGUGAUUAGAAUACGGGUGGUAUACCACGUGUUUUUAUGUAAGUUGUGAGAAAUUUUAUUUUUUAAGUUCUUAACUUUUUAACACACAUAUGCCACUAUUUAUAGAGUGACACGUAAUGUAUCAUCCCAUGUUUGGUCACAUUGAAAAAUCUCUCCUGGAGUGCCGUGCAUCUUUCUUUCUCAUGUCGUUAUUCUAUUUAAAAAGUCUUGUCUGGUUUGGCCUGUAAUUGUUGUUACUAUAGCAUUAUUGGAUUCGUGGAGUUCGAUAUCCCAAAUAGAACUCUCAGUUUAGCUAAGUAAUAUGGAUGAACCAAAUCACUCAAAGACUAGUCACUUCCACAAUUUUGUUCAAACAUGUUGGACAUCAAUCUUCCCUCCCUUCUCUGUAUUUUUUUCUAAUUUUCAUUCAUCAGUAAUUUUUAGGCUCAUGAAUCUAGAACUAAAAUAGAUAUAUAUUGUUCCAAUGAGCAAAAACAAAAUCAAAACAUUUUUCUCUCGCUUCUAAGACCCACUACUAAGAGAGGGAAGAUAAAGUUUACUUAUUAGGUUUACUUUUUUUCAUUAUGUCGCCAUUUUGUUGUCAAUAAAUGCCUACCGAGAAGAAGAACGCAUUGAAAUUGAUUGUGUUAAAUUGAAGUUAUUAUGAACUGUGAAAUUGUAAAGAAUUCUUCAUUUUACUCCGAGACCUUUAUUUUUAACUCAUCGAAACUCAAAAAACUAGGAGAUCAAUCAGAAGGGUAUGGAAUUCAUCUUCGGUUUGGUAGGCGAUGGCUUUGCCGUCAUGGCAACGGACACGUUGCCCGUGCACGGCAUACAGAAUCAUGGUGCUCUCCCACAAGCUUAUUGAAGCCAGCGCGUGCCUGGCGACAGGGUUCAGUUCAAGGAGUACAUACAGAAUAACGUGGCUUUGUAUCAGUUCCGUAAUGGGAUCCCAUUGACCACCGGUGCUGCUGCGUGCUGCUGCCAAUUUCACGUGGCAAGCUCGCCACUGCCCUGCGAAAGAACCCAUGCAUGGUGAACAUCUUGAUGGCUGGUUUCGAAAAGGAGGCGGGGGCAACCCUUUACUACGUCGACUACAUUGCCUCACUUCACAAGGUUGAGAAGGGAGCGUUGGGUCAUAUAAAUUUUGCACCCUCAUUAAUGGAUGGGCACUACCACAGUGGCAUGCCUGUGGAGAAAGCAAUUGACUCGAUCGACAAGUGCAUUGUUUAAGGUCCGGUCACAGCUGGUGGUUGCUCUGCCAAACUUUGUCAUCAAGAUAGUUGACAAGGAUGGGGCGAGGGAGCAGAGGCGGACCGACUUAGGGGCAAGGGGGUCAGCUGACCCUUCAACUGCUUUAUAAAAUGCGUUAGAAAUGUGUUGCAUCUUUACAGUCUAGUCCUCAUAUUAUUUACCUUUGGCUUGUUUGUUGGUUGUGAUUACAAUUGCAGGCAGAAAAAAUGAACCAAGUAAAAAACUAUCCAGAAAUGCAAAGUAAAUGAAAUAAUGAUCUCAGAUAAUAACAAAACAUCAUCAUUCUUGGACAAACAUAUUAAUGAGAUGCAAUGAUAUUAAACAUUGUUAGUGUGUUUAAGAUAAGUGUGUUUCUUUGUUAAGCAUUCAUAUGGGAGCAAUCUUGGAAUAUGUUAGUUACCCACGCAAAUGAGGCAUUAACAAGUGUGCAGUAUGCAUUUCCAAAUGACUUCAGGCCUACUCGAUGAAAUGACAAUAUGCAUGCUAUUUCAGUUAAAAAAAAUUUGCACUCUGCGCACACUAUUCUUACUAACCCCCUUAAUAUUAUUUCCUGAAUCCACUACCGACAGAGAGUAUGCGUGGCGGGAAUCCAUUAGGGAUGCCGGUGUUGUUACUGGUGCUGCAUGCUUUAGUAAUUAAUUAAUUUUAUGUAAUACUGGAUUAUUCAUUUUAUAAGUGGACACUGUUUCUGAAAAAAAAAACAAACAGAGAGAAAAUAAAAUGUUGUUUUGGUGCGUUCCAGUUGUUUUAUACGAAAGGGGCCAAGAACUAGUGGCACUAGCUAUCCGACUUCCAACUAGAGGUCGCCUCGUUUAUUUGAUACGGUAAAUAGUGUGGGGUACGUGAAGGACACAAAAGCAAAAGCAAUGGGACUAGUGGACGACCCCGGACAAGUCCUUAUUAAUGAUCCAAAACACUUUACUGUUAUUUUAUACUAAUUUAUACUAAGCAAGCUGAGGAAGAGUGUGAACCCUAGAAACUUCACAUUAUGACCAUUAGGUCAUUUGAAAUGUAUGUAAACCCUAGCAUUCUCACAUUACGACCAUGUAAUAUAUAAACAUUGCAUCCAACAUGUGAUAAAUUGGUUAUGUUCUUUUUUCACUUCUCACGCGAAUGUCUAGCUACUUCUAGUUCUUUUUUCUUUAACUGAUUGACUAAAUAAAAUAAGUAUUAUUAGUUGGUUUUAAAAAAACAUAUACCUUAGCAUAUCCUCACAUUGUGACUGUGGUAUGUAGACUUUCGGGUCGAACGUGUGGUAAUUGGCCAUCUUCCUUUCUCGCUCGUCAAGCGAUUAUCUCGUUCUGAUUAUCUAUUUGUGACACAUUUACCUUUAACUUUCAGAUUCAAUUGACCCUUUUCGUUUGCUAAAUGUCGUUAUCUUAUUUCUUCAAAGAGUGAAGCUAGUACAAGCCGCUAAAAUUGAAAAUAUAGGAAAAAUCUAAACCUAAAGAUCACCACAUAUUAAAAUAGCAGCAUAAACUAAAUCAAGCAGCAUCUCUCUACUCACAAACUACCGAUUUUAAUUAAUGUUCUGUUCUCUCAUCGAUCCAGAAAAAAAUACAGAUAAGGAGCAGAUAAUUCAAUCAAAGUGGGAUUCAUAAAUAUCAUGGAAUAUAAUAACAAAUAUUCUUCCACCUAAAUAAGUGCGAAAAGCCUGAAACCUCCAUCUCUUCUUCGAUCGAUACAAUCAACCCCAAUGAUUUCAAUCAAGUUAAUAUUAAGCACGGAAAGAGGGGGGGAAAAAAACUAAAUUUACCAAAUUUAGAAAGCAAUGAGAGCUCCAAGAACCAAAAGCGAAAUGGAAAACAAACCCAUGUUUCCUCCAAUCCCAGUCCUCAAAGACCCACUACCGCCGCCAGUGGUGUUAGUGGUGGAGCCACCGCCCGUGGUGGUGUUGGUAGUGGAAUUAGCUACCAAGGGCAAGGUCUCAUAGGACCUGAGAUUGGCGGGGGAGAAGUCAUGCUUUUCAGGGAAACCGGUGGUGGUGUUGACUCCGGGGCCCACCUGCCAGACGUGGUUGACGGACACCGCGUCUUUUUUGACCUUGACGGUGGCGAAGAUCAUGAAGGUGCCGCUGGAGAACUCGGCGCUGACGUCCCAGACGUCGAACGAGAGCUUUCCGGGAAUGAUGGAGGCGUAGGAGCUGAUGUUGUAGGUUGUGACGGUCGGGGUGCCGUUAGCAGUUAGGUGGGCCAGUAGGGCCUGGGACCCGGCCAUUCUUUCGGCUGUGGGGUUGAUGGCCCAGGCGACCCAGCCGUCGGUCUUGGCGGGGGCGGCGACGAAGGCAAUGGAGAGGGAGGAGUUGGAGCGGUCGUACGUCCAGUGGAGGUAGGAGCUGAGGACGGGGAGGUCGGAGCAGUUGGAGUAUAACUUGUUUUUGAAUGUCUGUGAGUUGCAGGUGGCUGCUUGUACGGCCGGCGAGAUUAGCAGAGCCAAUAGGAGGGAAAUGCAUGAAAUCUGGAGGAGAGAGAGAGGGAGAGAGGAAGCCAUUGGAGAGAGAUGAGGGCUUUGUGGAAAGAAAGAAAAAAGAGGGAGAGAGAGUGUGAU